rnacentral:lncRNA from 1 species
CGAGCGUCCGGUCCAUCCACCUGAUGAUGUCGGCGGCGAUCUCGUCGCGCUCGGGUUCGAAGAGCAGGUCGUGCAGGAACCCCUCGUACAGCCGCAGGUCCUUGUGCCUCGACGCCGCCUCCCUGUAGAGCUCCUGCGAGGCCAGCGGGUCCGUCACCCGGUCCGCCGUGCCGUGCAGGACUACAAACGGGACAGUCACCUUCUUCAGGUUGUGCAGCAGGUAGGAGGAGAUGCGCAGGAUCUCGUGGCCCGUACGGACCCUGAUCGGCCCCGUGUAGACCAGCGGGUCAGAGUACUUUGCUAGCAGCGCCGCAGGGUCGCGGGACACCGGGAUGCCCCGCUUGUUGGCUCCCUUGAAUUGGAACUUGGGUGCAAUCAGAGAGAAUAUCGGUGCCACUGCCUGCAUUUGAUUCAGAUGAGUCUCAGUGAUGAAACACGACUUGCCAUGCAGGUAAACCAAAAAUAUAUCGCGAAUUUUGAAGUUUUAAAUUUUGUGGAUGAAUUCAAAAGCAGAGCUUCUGAAAUAGCUCUACUUUUGAUAUGAGCGUACAAUAUCAAAAGUUCUCAAAUCAGCAUAAUUUGGAAUAAUAAUAGGAAACCAGAAUAGUUCUAUUACCCCGACUAUCGGAUGCGCUGGUUUUACACGCACAGCUGGUGAAGUCAGGAUGAUCCCUUCCAGUCUGGUUCUGAUAUGGGCGUACAGCGACGCCUGCAAGAUGACAGCUAGUGAUGAGCAACCAUGAAACAAGUAAGUUAAGCGUUGUUAAAUGAGCAUCGUUAGCCAAACCAUUUCAACCAGGCUAUUUUGUUAAUGCUUUGCACCACUCUCCGCCGUCAGGGUAUCCAUUGUUCACAGGCCCAGAGGAGUAGGGUCAGUGUCUAGAUCUGGCCUAAAUACCGAUGACAAAAAAGCGAUUUAAUUCGACAGGCCAUACCUUCAAAACAACAGCUCCACCAGUGGAGUGGCCGAGUAGAAAACAAGGAACAUCUGGAUUCUCCAGCAUAAUUUUAUCAAGAAGUACUUCCUGCUCAGAGAUGAUAAUAUUGCAUUACAUCAGCCAUCAGGAACAGUAGCAAGGAAAAAAAUAGUGUGCUAUACAAAACAACGUCGACCUUAAAAAUAUGCUAUUACCGUGUUAUAGCAUUGCCAUUAGCAAGAUAUUGUACACUGAUCAAUUUAGCGACACAAUUCUCUACACAUUAUACCGUGCUAUUAGCGGCGCUAUAUCGUGCUAUUUUUUUCAGUGAACAGAAUAGCUUUGUGCCUUCUAUGGAAAAACCUUGAACAGGAUGUAGAAGUAGGUGGACAGACAGAGACUUACCAUGUCUUUUAUAACAUAGUCCAGAGAAGGAACAUAACCGUGCAGACCAUCACUCCCACCAUGACCUGUUAUGCAGAAGCUCAAGUUAGCCUGUUGAUGUUGAAACGAAUGCAAAAUUCAGUAGGCAUGCUCACACCUCACAGGAACAAAGAGACUGAAAACCAUGGAUAAUUUUCUCGAAGCACUGCUAGAUUCAUGGGAAUGAGUUGCAAGGUAAGAAUCCACAACUAUGCGGGUACAGCAUGACAACCUUAGCAUCGUUGCUUAUAUUUUACUACCUCCUAUAAAAAAAACUACUAUCUGGUUCUAAAUGUUUGUCAUAAUAUUACCAAUACCAGAUAGCUAGCUAACACCUAGUUAGCUUGAUACCUACAUGAUCCACACACACACACAAAAACAAAAAAAAAAAAAAAAAACUAAGCACUCCCUCCGAUCCAUAUUAAAUGUCGCUGAUUUAGCACUGAUCUUCCACCAAACCAACCAUGUGUAACAUUUCCUAUAAUAUAGCAGAAGAAGACAUGUUCAGAAAACCACAAGUAGGUUUCCUUACCAAUCCAGUCCAUUGCAUAUACUCCAAAGCCACAUGACGUUAGCUGCUCGGCAAAAUGCAAAUACCUCCCACUGAAAAGCAAGAUCAAGAUGCAUUUAGUAAUGCCUCUAAUACAGGGAGGAUAUGAAAAAUAUAGGUGUGUCCACCAACAUGCUGGGGCCUGGAGGACUGGAGGGGACUGACUCAACAUGAUUUCCUUACCUAUGUUCAUUGAGCCCAUGUACGAUGAGCAGAAUGGCCCUGAAGCAAAAGAGGAAGAUAGUCAAUACAAAAUUGUGUCACUGCAAGUGAAAGAGAGGUUCAGCUUGAUGCUUCAAACUUCUCGUUUCUUAUGAAAGAGACUGAACAGAACCAUAAUCUUCAGAAGGUGUUCACACAUGUAGAUCCAUAAAACCAGUCAGCAAAAUUAGGGGUGGAGGAUCACCUAAAUUAGUUGUGAUUAUGUCAUUUUUCAACAUUUGUUUGCUGGGUUGUUUGACUAUUAUGCCAUUCAUAUUGAAAACAGAGUUGACGGUCAGCUCAGGCAACUACACACCGGGUCAUGUCAAGAAUAAUCAACACUUUGGUUGCACAAAGUGGGCGCAUUAAAGAAUUAAGAAAAAUCCCUCUGCCCCUUUCUUGAUAGCUAAGUUUUCCCGUGUCACAUGGAGACAUUACGUUAAGGUUUUUAUGGAGUAUUGAGAGAUAAGAAUGGAACAGAAGUUGGAGAUAAGUAUCAGCUUAUAUUCCUAAUCCGUUCCACUUUACUUGUUCCCCCUUUCCUGUAUUUCAAUGUUGCUUCACACCGUCCCAAAAAAAUUGCACAAAGCUAUCGUUAUUUUAGUCAACUAGCCCAGGUUCCGAAGGAGAGACGCGUACAAGAAAUAUGACAACCUAAAACAGCAGCUCUGCGAUGAGGACAAACUGCAUGCAUCAUCGUUGACAGGGGUAGGUAAUGAGUACGAAUGCAAAGAUAGGUGAAGAUCUGAAUUACAACGUGCAUCGCACGGCACGUCUCUUUAUGAGUAGAGCAGCAGACACAGCCUUCUGUAAAACACUAGGUCCAGGUAUCUAGUAAAGCACUCUAAUCGCGUGAUCAAAACCGCAGCUAGUAUGCAUGAUCUAAAUGCUCAACGUGCCUUGCCAUUACUACACUAGGAUCACCUAAACAGGAGCAGAAAAUUGCAACUUUAACUGAAAUUACCACCCGUUGGCAUCAGAGAAGAGUACCAAAGACGCAAGAGAACUAUUCACCACGCACAAUUCGCAAAUAAACAUAAUUUCUAAGGGAUCAAAGACCAAAAGAAAUCAUUUUAUAUUUUUGAGGGGAGGAAAUCCUUGUAAUAUUGUCAACAAAAUGCCCAGAAUUCUCCCAAAAAAACCUACGUGAUUGACUGAUUCAAAAAUCCCUUCAGGGUGAGGUCAAGUCCACGAACUACCGUUCCCCCACCGCUCCACCGUUAUGAUAUAGUACAGCCAAAGAAAAAAGUGGCGAGUAAAAGACCACGAACCACGAAAGCGAAAUCCACAGAAACGAACAAAAGGAAACCACCAAUUUCCACAGCGACCGAAACCCCCACGGUCCACGGAAGGCAAUUCAAUCGCACACGCCACGGGUCGGGCGGACGGGGCUCACCUCGUCUCCGUGCCGACCGCCGGCGCCCAGACGCGGCAGAAGAGCGCGUUCCGCCUGGCCCCGGCGAUGACGAACGUGCCGCACGUCCUCCCGUCCGCGUCCGAGUCGUCCUCCGCCAUGGGCACCUCCUCCGCGAGCGCCCGGCGGCGGCGCACGUCCUCCUCCUCCGCGGCCCUGCGCCUGCUCCUGGCCUUCCCGGGGCGGCCGGGCUCCGCCGGGCUGGCGGCGUCGGGGCGGCGGCGGCGGCCGACGAGGAGGAGGAGCCAGAGGAAAAGCGAGUGGAGCGCGACGGCGAGGCGGAGCAGCGCGCGGCGGGACAGCACGGAGCGGAAGACGGGCACGAUCCGGCCCGUGGCGCCCGAAGUCAUCAUCAUCUCGUCGCCGCCCAUCUCCAUGGCUCUCCCCCCCCUGCCGCUGCGCGUUUUUCGUGCUUUACUUUUUCUUCGCGUUUUACGCGGUCGCGGGCUUCGUGGGCCGCCCCCGCGUAUUUAUAGGGGAUGGACAUUUAGACUCUGGCGAGAGCGUGGCCUGCUGUUUCCUUCCUGGAAAUCCGUAUCCUCAAGUUGUUUUUUAUUCAUUUCCUGUUAAUACUAAUAAAUUUAUUUAAGAAGAGGAGUGAGGAGAUGGUGGUCCCAUUAACAGUUGCAACGGAUGAACAGUCCAGCUAACAGCUGUGCCAUGCCACGGUCCCACAUGUCACCCCUCUCACCCGAUUAGUGCAACAUUUAAACACCACAUAAUAUAGAGUAUACGAUCAGUUCGAUAUAUAUGGCACUAAAGGGAUACAGGUACUACAGUAGUAGAUUGCCUUCCCAACCAGUGUACAUACAUUCAUUAUUGACAAUAAAUUAUCGGUAUAGCUAUCCGGCAAACUCGCUGGGGUGAGAUCCCACCGAACACCCCUAGAGCCAACCGAUUUGGAUUGCAUGGUGGUAAUUUUCAUCAAAUAUCCAUGUAAAUUAAACAAAAUGACAUGGCAGUUUUCUAAAAUGUCACCCCACCACAUAAACUGCCACCAUUAAUUUUUCGCAUAUGCUAUCCCGACGUACGACAAACAACUAUCUUUACCUAUUACUAGUACAAAUGUCCGUCCGUUGCAACGGGUAAUAAAUUGCAAUACCUGCUACGCGUGCCCAGUGACGAAUCUUGGAAGAAAAUGAAGGGGACUCAAAGUUAAAUAUGCAUAUAGGAAGUCAAAAUCUCUCAAUUCUUUGGUCCAAAUAAGAUCAAAUGUUUUAUAGAAUAAUAGUAUUUUUUCUUUACUAUUUUUUGGAGGGGUCUCGAGCUUAUCGAAACCGUGCUAGAUUCGCCACUCCACGUGCCAUUACUCACCAUUUCUUACACCCAUUGUCAUAAAUGUGGUCAUAAGUUUAAAUUGAUUAUCACUUUUUGAAGCAUGAAUUGUGGAGAUGAAGAUAUCACCCUGAUAUCCUUCGUUUGAUGGAAGAGUAGUAGUACAUGGAUUAGUAUGAUUAAUCACUUGUCUUUGGAAAAACCUGUGUUGCAACUUGUGAAAACAAAUAUAUCAGAUGUUCCUUCCCACAGUAAGCAUGACUCGAGACCUCCACAAGCCCAUACAAUUUAAAAACACAUCCAUUUGUAUUUCCACUUAUUAUUGUCCUAGCCAUCCAUGACUUGCAGGCGUUCCGCACGGCUAAGCUUAGCCGCUCGAUCGACCUUGUCGGAGUGUGCACCUCGUUUGCCAGUCGACCCCGCCAGCGUAUUAUCCCUACGAGCUCUUUCUCAAACCUCCUUCAAAACAAUCACACCAGUUGGUUUAGUGCCCUUUCAAAUCAUCCUUUCUUGUUGAAAAAAAUGUGGACCAGUCUAGUUCAGCCCAUCCAGGAGUUAGGGGACAGAGCGACAACGGACCAAAACAGAUGAAAUUACGGAAGCAAGAAGUGCGUUGCACCAGGCGUAAAAGAGACACAACAUGCUUCAUGUGCCAUUAUGCACCAUUUUUAAUCCAACUUUGAUAAUCAUUAAUAAUAAGGUGAAAUUACUCAAGCAGCAACCUUGGAUCCGUCCUCACGCAAAUCAACAACCUCCAGGGGCCGGAGCCCAGCCAGACAUAGUUCUCCUUUCAGUUUUGGCACAACUUGCUAAACAAAUCACUAACUACAUUUUAACCAUGGUUGAUAUGAGUAAUAAGGGUCAUACAAAGAUACUUCAAAUGCUUGAUCUCCGCCACCAAAGAAGCAUACACAUACAUGUUUGUGUCCCUCCCAUUCAGAAUAUUCACCGCUGAAAAUGAGUAAAUCUCGAUGCAAGCUGGUACUUUCAUUUGUUAUAUAGCAAUAGAUAACUCCUUCAAGUUCGGACGUGAAGAAGCCAACAUACCAUUCUUCAUCCGAUGGAAGAGUAGUUUUGCAUAGAACAAUCGUUUUUCUUUUGUUUUUCUGAAAACACACAUAAUUCCUUAUUUUUAGUAAACUUAUCAUUUUCAUAAAAACUGGAACGCAUUAGCUUCCACCCACUCAUAUGAUGCAUGCAUCCGGAAUAUAUAUUUCUUCUUAUUCCAUACAUGAUACAUAAUAAUGUUACCAAGAUAGCUUGUCAGGCAACACUGAUACAUUGACACGACAAAAAAGAUAACUAUAUUCAUACCUUGUGAGUUAUAUUCUAAGUAGAAUAUAGAUGACGAAGAACCAAAGCUUCUAUGCAUACUCCUGACAAAAAGAAGAAAUAACAGUCAGCUUUAUGUAAAAAUCAAUUAUGUUGCAGUAAUAGAAAUAUAAGUUACGAAAGGCUGACCAGUUAUUCCUACCCACUAAACAAAUAUGUAGCACUAUCAACCAUAAGCAUUGCAUUAUUGCAUACGACUAAACUUGACAUAUAUAUAACACCGUGCGUCCAAACCUAUUUCAGCAAAAGAAAGAACAAUUCUUUUAGUUUGACUUGAUUUUUAUUAACAAGUAAAAUUGUUGGCAGUGUAGGAUGCCGAAUUUACAUGGACCAUAUCAACCACAAUAAGCUGAUGUUUGCUAUCAGUAUAAAUUUGACUUUCCCAUGUCUGGAUUGCAAGAAUUUUCACGAGCUUACCUGAGUACAAUGUCGCUGGUCCAUCUUCUUGGUAGAAACCAGAUGUGGUCUUGUUGCUGGAGUUUCACUCCGCACUGGGACAUUCCACUAUUGGACGCUCUCGCCGGAUUGGCACAACGACUUGUCUGGCCUCAUGACGAUAUCACUUGUCGUCGAGCCUGGAGCAUUAUACCAUGCUUAUAUCAAGACCCCCAAAACUAAGAUAAGAUACAUAGAAAUCUUAAGAGUAUGUGUCAAAACGACCUGACCAUGAAUUUCAAAAUAUGUUCCGAGGGAAAGUUAGAUAAGAAAAAUGCAGUAUUGUGUUAAUUACUUCCUUGCAUCAAUUGAAAUUGCUAACUCCUGCAGCUAAUUUCACAAAGGAAAGAAGAUGGCAAAAUAAUACAAAGUUUUCAUCCUAUAACCAUAAGUUAACUUGAAACCUGCUACUACCUUAAAAUUGUGGCUGGAGUAAUAUAGAAGCUAGCGUGGACGGACCAAUAUGUAGCAUAACUGCAGAAAAGAAAAAAAAUCUAAGGAGUAAGGACAAAUUAAGAGUGCUGGAUCUGGAGGCCUAUAUCAUAAGAUUUCAGUAGAGACAAAUUAAGAUCUUUAUAGAGAAAAUAACACACCUCUGAAAAAAAAGGAAGGACCAAACUAUGUCAAUGACGUACAUUACUAACCAUGCCCGUACGUUGCAACGGGAGAAACAAACUCUCUCAUCUCUUUCGGGGAAAACAAACGAUACUCUGCUCAACUAAAGCUUACAAUUUCCCAUCAUAAUGAGGCAUAAUUUCCAUCUUGUUUUAGCUUACAAUUUCUUCUCAUAUUAAGGCAUAAUUUUCCAUCUUGUUUUAUUCACAUACACAUGGGUCUGUUUUCGACCGAGCUCUGUUUUACAAUAUAAAUUUUCAUCCUCCCAUUCUCGGCCUAAUCAUCACCCCUUGCUCUACACAACAUUUCUUGAAGAGAAUACAAACACUAUUUUUUCUUCCACCAAUACUUAAAGGAUGCAAGGAAUGUUUUUGUUGUUAAUGUACAUGUGCAUGUGUUUAUGCGGUAAUAAUAUAUGACAAACGACGACACGUGCAUAAUCUAGAAGAUAAUCAUGCUAGCAUAUUCAUGAGAUAGGGAAGACAACAUAUAAAAUCUGAACCUGAAUCAUUGUACUAUUUAGGCUUUUCUUUUCUUUUUAUACAACGUCUUCUGUUCCACAUAUUCCUCUGGAUUUUUCACUUAAACAACUUCGAACACUACUUAACACAUGUUUUCACAUGCUAAAUGCAUUCAGGGCCACAUACAUCGUAACCUACAUUCAACCCAGAAAUUAUGAAAUUUAGUCAAACAUUUACCAAAUUAUUUAGACACUUCUAUCCAACCUAAGAUCAGGCCAAGUCAUGCACGCAUAGGAUAUCAGACGCAUGUGCCUGAAUAUUUGAUCAAGGCUGUUGCAACUCCUCUAGAAAAUAUCCAUGAGGACUGAGACAAAUCUCUAUCUGUACGUAGUAGUUUGCAAGGAGCAUAUACAUACUAUUUUUUGAAAUGCAGCAUAUACAACUGAUACUACUUUAACUGAAAAUAAACCUAUCGUUGUCUGCUCUCCAAUUUCAGAGUAGCAUGGUUUAAUUCAUUCAUGACCUCUGCAUUUUAUUCAGACAGCAGCAUGCACCAAGAUACCUACUUAGAAAGCAAAAUCUUCUCUUUCACAGGGCUAGUGUUUCAUCUAGCUUUAGCGUAUCCUCUCUUUCUCCCUUUGGAUAAGUAGUAUAGUUGAUAACAUACAGACUUAAGAAGUAAAUAGUUGAUGACAGAUGCAAAUCAAUGACAUUGUAGUGUAUGUACCUCAGGUCAGAUCAAGUUUUGGCGGAAAGUGGAAUAUGUGAAGACAGAUUUCCAUUGAAGUCGACGGUAUACAGCCAUGUCUGUGUCAGAAACUUGGCAUGAGGAUGAGCCAUAUAACUGUAGAUUCUCCAGGAGAGUUAGAACACAAAAAACUAUUUGACCUUGCAAUAGAAUUGAAAGGGUUAGGUGAUGUGCGUAUCUCUCUCUGUUGUCUCUACCUCUCUGCUCUCUGUCUUCCUCACAUAUCUCCUUUUUCUCCAGAAGACCAGAACAACAGAUGCAACAAUCAAUGUCUCAAUCGGCCACCGAUCUAGUGCUGGACCGCUUCUCCUCUCUCUGUCCAGGAAGUGGUACACCACAAUGGAACUCAACCACCGAUCUCGUGCUGGAUCCUGCCGACCAUGUCCAGCCUCACAAUAGAUCUAGCAUCUCCCGCACUGGUCAUCCUCACGCUUGCCAUGCGAGAUUCGGAGAGUGGAAGCGGGGGCAGCUGCCAGCGCGAUGAAGCCUCUGGCAGCACACUCGUAGGAUCUGGCGCAGUCGUGAGGCGGGUCGCGAGCCUCCCUCCUACCAGGGCCCCUCCUGCUAUUGGGAAACUCGAAGAGGAAUGGAGAGUGGAGGCGCCGACAGUAGGACGAUGGGUGCCUAAGGGGGUGGGAGGGUAGUCUGGGGGUGGAGGAGAGGUCGAGAGGGCCGGAGGCGGAGGGGAGAGCCAUAGCCCGAGGGCUGGGGAGGGAGAGGCCGGUAGAUCUGGCAUCAUACCUCGCCUGCUCGCGACCGAAGCACUGUAACGACAAUAGAGAGGAGAACGCACCAUACCUCGCCUCCUCGCGACCCAAGCGCCGCCGGCCUCAGCUCCCGUCUUGAUCGAUUCCCUCGUCCUCCUCCUUCCUUCAUGCGCCAAACCAGGACGGGAGCGUUGCGCCCCAACCAUGGCGCCGCCCCGGAGAACCACGAUGCCUUGCAAGGUCCCAUCGUAGCUCGCCUGGAUUCGGAUGCGACAGCCGUUCCCCACGUCGAGUCCAUGCGCCACCGCCGCCCUAUGCGAGUGUCACUCGAUCAGAUCGAACUAAAGAAGGUAUUGCGGGUUGAAUACGAAUAACAACAGGGGCUUUUCUAUAAAAAGGCCGUGGCGGGUUUUCCGACAGAAGCGAUAGCCUCUUUAUUAUUAGGUAAAGAAUAAAGCACAUAUUGCUUCUGUGGUCCGUCGUCGUACUUUUGCAAAAAAACUCCCUGUGGUUUCUGAUAAUUGAACCCGCGGUCCACACGUAACAGUGAAUCUUGAGAAAAACGCUUCGCGAUGGCCCGACCCCACGCGAGCGAGAGCAAACCCUACCCCGAGCCGUUCCCUCGCCGCCGCCGCCACACCUCAUCCCGCUCGCCGCCUCCGCCGGAUUGGGACACGGACUGCGCGCAUCGAUGGACGACAGAGGCGGCGGUGGGCGAGAGAGGAGGGAGGCCGCCGCUGCACUGCUGCGCCGACUCGGACGCCGACGCCGUGUCGUCCGUGGCCAUGGCCGCCGCCGCGACGACGACACCGCGUUGCCCAUCCUCACGCCGUCGUGGCGCCGGCCGGAGAAGAGGCCGUCAAAGAGGCCCAUCGCGGCGCGUGGCGGCCGGCCGCAUCGCCCGUGACUCCGUCAAGCGCGCGCGCACGUACGCCCGGCCAAGGCGGCAAAGGGGGAUCGCUCGUGCCGUGGCGGGGAUCACUCGUGCCGUGGCGUGCUCAUGCUUCGAGUGCUAAAGCAUAUGCUUUCUGGCCCAAAAGGGUCUUCCGGCAACAGCUCCGAUGGGUCUCAGGAUUUGAUUGUGGCGGUGCGCCUUCCGAGAGGCAUCAAAGGAAUGGAAAAAUUGGAGACACUGUCGCAUGUUGAAGCUCCCGGCAAGGUUAAUGAUUUAACUGAUGUUGGUCAUCUAUUGCAGCUGAGUAAACUGGGUGUGAUUCUUUCGGCUGAGAAAGGUGGCUUGGGUGUUCUAUUCCAACAGAUUGAAAAAUUACACGGUUGCCUGCGCUCCUUGUCAAUCCAGAUGAACAAACCACCCAAAGCAGAGGAUACUCUUCCAUUAGCUUCACCUCCAAAACUUCUUCAGAGCCUGAACAUUAGUGGCAUUAGAAGUGGGCUCCUUUUGUGGAUUGUAGAGCUUGAUCAACUUACCAAGUUAACAUUGAGCGAGACUUACCUGGGGGAAGACUAUAUACACAUCCUUGGCAAGCUUGCAUCUAUGCGUUGCCUCAGGCUUCGGUGCAAUACCUAUGCCGGAAGCGGGCCCACAUUCAAUGAUGGAGAGUUCAAGAGCCUCAAGUCGUUGGUAGUUGAUGACGGUGUCAUAGCUAACAUUACCUUCGAAACUGGGACAGUUCCCAACCUUGAGAGGAUUGUUUGGUACAAAAAUAUUGUUAUAAUUAAAUCAUGUGCUAACAUUUGCUCUAUCUGGUUUAUCCUCGUGAGAUCAAAUUUUAUGAUUUAUCGGUUAUGUUAUCGUGGAUCCUAGAGCAAAAUUUAUCUUAUCCUGUGUAGUUGGUCGCCCACACUGGAUAGUUUAACCAGAUUUUCUGAUUGUCUGUCUUGAGUGGAUGUGUACAGGAACCUGCAGGAAAACUUCAAUCGGAGCAAGAGUCGCACCACGGAGAUCUUCUUCCUGUGUAGCUUGACAACUUCAGUAAGACUAGAAUCGAUGUGGUUGCCUUGAGUAAGCAUGCUUAUGUACACGGUAAGAGGCAGUAUGUUUGUCAGGAGCCCGGGUGUGGGAAAGGUAUAUCCGACAAAAAGGGGAUAGAUUUAACAUUACACCUUUACUCGUACAUUAAUGUUAGUGAACUUUCUUGUUUACUAGCAUUGACAGAUUUUUCAGUAAUUUUAGACUCAUACCUGAAAUGUUCAUAAAAGCUUUUUUCUCUAUCUUUUUAUUUACGAGGACCUUUCUCUUUUUGCAUAUUAUUAGCGGAUUUAAGGCCCAAUGAUGUGAAUACAUAUAAUACCUUUGGUUAUGUGUCAGGAAAGAUUCAGUUAAAUGAUCAAUUCACUAAUUAAUCAAUCAGUAAAGACUCAGUUGUUUAAUCCUACUAGAGAGAUACUCCAUGCAUUCAAUCAAUUGUUAGUGUUAAUGGAUUGAUCCAGUACAUUCAUUCAUUCAAAUAAUUUAGUCCUACCUGAGAAAUUUAAGAUCACAUAUGUAUCGAAGUCUUGAUCUUUUUUUCUCGUCCAUGUGCAAAUGCUGCUGAGGAAUAAACAAUGAUCAUGUUUAACCGGAUUAGAUGUAUUUUUGGUCUUCACCUAAGCUCCAGGGGUGUGCCAACAAUCAUUACAGGUUGGUCGACAUGAGUCAGGGACCUGACAUGUUUGAGAAGAUGCAAUCCGAUGGCCGCAGGUGUGAUGUCUUCUUCGACCUAAUUUGUUAUGUGAACGGUGAGGAAUUCUCUGUUCUGUGUUCGUUGGACUUCCAUUUGCUUAAAGUUUUUUUUAUUUAGCUAUUCCGUGCUUGCUGAAAUUCUCAUAUGAUGUGACCUGGUAUUAUUGUUGGAAAUAUGCCCUAGAGGCAAUAAUAAAUUAGUUAUUAUUAUAUUUCUUAGUUCAUGAUAAUCGUUUAUUAUCCAUGCUAUAAUUGUAUUGAUUGGAAACACAAUACUUAUGUGGAUACAUAGACAAAACACUGUCCCUGGUAAGCCUCUAGUUGACUAGCUCGUUGAUCAAAGAUGGUCAAGGUUUCCUGGCCAUAGGCAAGUGUUGUCACUUGAUAACGGGAUCACAUCAUUAGGAGAAUCAUGUGAUGGACUAGACCCAAACUAAUAGACGUAGCAUGUUGAUCGUGUCAUUUUGUUGCUACUGUUUUCUGCGUGUCAAGUAUUUGUUCCUAUGACCAUGAGAUCAUAUAACUCACGGACACCGGAUGAAUGCUUUGUGUGUAUCAAACGUCGCAACGUAACUGGGUGACUAUAAAUAUGCUCUAUAGGUAUCUCCGAAGGUGUUCGUUGAGUUAGUAUGGAUCAAUACUGGGAUUUGUCACUCCGUAUGACGGAGAGGUAUCUCAGGGCCCACUCGGUAAUACAACAUCACACACAAGCCUUGCAAGCAAUGUGACUUAGUGUAAGUUGCGGGAUCUUGUAUUACGGAACGAGUAAAGAGACUUGCCGGUAAACGAGAUUGAAAUAGGUAUGCGGAUACUGACGAUCGAAUCUCGGGCAAGUAACAUACCGAAGGACAAAGGGAAUGACAUACGGGAUUAUAUGAAUCCUUGGUACUGAGGUUCAAACGAUAAGAUCUUCGUAGAAUAUGUAGGAUCCAAUAUGGGCAUCCAGGUCCCGCUAUUGGAUAUUGACCGAGGAGUCUCUCGGGUCAUGUCUACAUAGUUCUCGAACCCGCAGGGUCUGCACACUUAAGGUUCGACGUUGUUUUAUGCGUAUUUGAGUUAUAUGGUUGGUUGUCGAAUGUUGUUCGGAGUCCUGGAUGAGAUCACGGACGCCACGAGGGUUUCCGGAAUGGUCCGGAAACGAAGAUUGAUAUAUAGGAUGACCUCAUUUGAUUACCGGAAGGUUUUCGGAGUUACCGGGAAUGUACCGGGAAUGACGAAUGGGUUCCGGGAGUUCACCGGGGGGGGGGGGCAACCCACCCCGGAGAAGCCCAUAGGCCUUGAGGGUGGCACACCAGCCUUUAGUGGGAUGGUGGGACAACCCAAAAGGGCUCUAUGCGCCAAGCAAAGGAAAAUCAAGAGGAAAGAAAAAAAGGAGGAGGUGGGAAGGAAGGGGGACUCCCUCCCACCAAACCAAGUCCAACUCGGUUUGGGGGGGGAGUCCUCCCCCCUUGGACUCGGCCGACCCCCUUGGGGCUCCUUGAGCCCCAAGGCAAGGUCCCCUCCCUCCCACCUAUAUAUACAGAGGUUUUAGGGCUGAUUUGAGACAACUUUUCCACGGCAGCCCGACCACAUACCUCCACGGUUUUUCCUCUAGAUCGCGUUUCUGCGGAGCUCGGGCGGAGCCCUGCUGAGACAAGGUCAUCACCAACCUCCGGAGCACCGUCAUGCUGCCGGAGAACUCUUCUACCUCUCCGUCUCUCUUGCUGGAUCAAGAAGGCCGAGAUCAUCAUCGAGCUGUACGUGUGCUGAACGCGGAGGUGCCGUCCGUUCGGUACUAGAUCGUGGGACUGAUCGCGGGAUUGUUCGCGGGGCGGAUCGAGGGACGUGAGGACGUUCCACUACAUCAACCGCGUUCACUAACGCUUCUGCUGUACGAUCUACAAGGGUACGUAGAUCACUCAUCCCCUCUCGUAGAUGGACAUCAUCAUGAUAGAUCUUCGUGCGCGUAGGAAAUUUUUUGUUUCCCAUGCGACGUUCCCCGACAAUUAUAUGUGCACAGGCUUUGUUUACAACAUCCUUUAGACUGGUUUUGACUGAUAGAAUUGGGUGAAAGCAGAAUUGCUAUUUGUUAGCUAUGACCUAUGAGUCUGAAAUCUGAAGGCAUAUGCUCUUAUAAUUUGAUACGGAGGGUGUUGUUUCGAUCGUAAGUAAUGGAUCAUAUAUUAUGGUAGGCAACCCAGGUUGAAACCUUAAUAAGGGCACUAAGAUGUAAGAACAUCCUGCAAGUGUUAUGAGUAUAUGUUUCAGUUGCAUAUAGCCUGUUGUUUUGUCUGAAGUAAGCUGUUCUCAAUGGGGUGUGAGAAGUGAAAACACGGAUAUUCUGUGUGAAAGGAAGAGUUUUGGGUAUACCAAUGUGCUCAGAACUUGGUAUUCAUAUGAGAAUCUUCUUUCUGCUGUGCUAUCUGUUUGCUGCAAAUGACAUCAAACCGCACAUCUAAUAUGCGUCAUGGUUACAGGUACACAAGAUCUCAGUCAUGCCCUUCCUGCCGCGGAAGCCUGAAGAGAGUCCAGUCCAGGGACCUGUGGGUGCUCACGGGCGACGACGACGUGAUCGACCCUGUGACCCUGGAGAAGGAGAAUGUGAGGCACUUCCACAGCUUCAUCGACAACCUGCCCCUCAUCGUCCCCGACAACCUUCUGCUGGUCUACUAUGACUACCUGCAUCUGAUAGAAAUUUGCAUUUUUAACUUUAACAUAGAUGUUUAGUAAAAUCAGAUAUAAAAACUGGUGCACAAUGACAUAUGAAUCGGUUAUGCUUUUUUUUACCCGGUGCAACGCACGGGCAUUUGUGCUAGUUGGGGUCCUAAAUUAUUACUAGUACUAGUAUAAAAGAAAAUUUUACUCCACCAAACAACUACCCCCUCCGUUCCUAAAUAUAAGUCUUUUAAGAGAUUUCACUAAGUGACUACAUAUGAAGCAAAAUGAGUUAAUCUAUAAUUUAAAGUAUGUCUAUAUACAUCCGUAUUUAGUUCCUUAUUAAAAACUACUAAAAAGACAUAUAUUUAGGAACGGAGGGAGUAGUAAGUAAUUCUACACAAAAUAUUGGCAUGAUUAUAGUUAUAUGUAUUUUUGUGUGAUUUCCCUUGAAGAUACAGAUCAACAUAUCAUUUGUUGUGCUCCUUAUUCUUGCAAAUGCGGAUGACAACACGCGCGCGCACACACACAAACAUAUGUGCAAACGCACGCGCGCGCACACACACACACACCUCCUCUGCCUAUGGGAUGUCAACAGAGAUCUCUCGGGUUGGUCAAGCAAAGGUUCCUUCGAAAUUACUACAUGGAACAUAUCAGCCAACUAGUUACUAGUCCAAAUAGAUCCUCGAGGGAGGUUCAUGAAACAUUGGAGGGUUGUUCCCGUUAGAAUGGUGAUGAGGUGUUUUCGUCACCUCCUGUGUGCCUCCCUCCACGUAUUGAUCGUAGUGGUUCAGAUGGCUAUGAACACCUCGAGGUCGGUAUUACCAGCAUACCUUUUGAUGGGGUGAGGUCAGAAAUUUUAAGGCCACAUGGUGUAUAUGAGUUCUUAAGAUAAGCAGGACACCCAAACAAUCGCAUGCGAGCCUCGUCGCCAUCAAACUUAUAUCGCCUCAUAUAGCUCUCCGACGCGUCUAAGGUGCAUUGUGAAUCAUGAUGAUUUUAUCCUUCUCAUUAAUUCCAUCUUUGACUGAUGAAGUCGCAUUUAUCAUCAUCGUUUUCAUCCAAUGAGGCAAACACAAAAAUUGAGUGCAAAAAAUAUCUCCUCCCACCCCCAAGACACGAUCAACUUUGACCCAAUCAUAGAGGAUUUCAUAGAUAUUCCAUAUUCAGAUAUUCUUAAGUUCCAAUAGAAAUCCUGUUGGGCCCUCAAGCAUAAAGGUUUGCAUAUAGGCAUUAUCCAACAUUCAUCUAUAGCUAAUACUCCACCCAAAGUCACCUAUAAUCACAUAUAUCUAAGUAUUGACUAAUAAAAUGGAAUAUAUCAUUAGGCAAGUUGGCAUAAUGUUGAUGGUAAUGUAUUCUUUUUACCUCUAGUUCACGACCUACGUAAUUACACCCUCCCUUCCGGUUUAGAGGGCUCAAAUCUGGAAUCUCAUCAACCAAGAUAGAUUGUGAGUGGAUGGCACAAGUUUUGUGAGUACAAGAAUGCCCAAUAUAAAUUAUUUCCACAUGUUCAACUCCCAAAGCAACAAGUGCAUCACCCACCUCUAAGAGCAAGUACAAUAGAGUUCAGUCAGCUGGCUAUAAGAAAUAAAGUAGUAUAUUUUUGCUUAGUUGGAGGAAAGAGAAGAGGAGAGAGAAGGUAAGCGGGCUCUUAGUUAAGAGUCAGCUCUAACACAUGCUCGUAGGUACUUUUGUGAGAGUGAAAGGCGGGCCAUAUAAUAAAAAAGUAGUACACUCUUCUAAUCUACUAUUGUAAAUGUUGACUAUAAGAUGGGAUAUAGAUGACGUGGCAAUGACUUAUAGCCAACACCUCGCUAUACUACUAACCAUGCUCUAAUUGGACUUGCAAGGUGCAUGCAAAAUAAGAUGCAUGCAUGACCACUAUUCCCUCUCUCUCAUCUCUAUGAAUUCAAUGUGGCAUGGACUCAAAGCACUUUAAUUCAAUUGGACUCAAACUAAGCCUAGUAUAAUGGAAAUCUAAAAGAAUUUAGAUAAGGAGGGAGUAUCUUUUUAUCUCGCAAUAACCAAAAAGGAGGGGGUAUCUUUUUAUCUCGCAAUAACACACUACAAGCAUUUUUAUCCGUUUAUCUUUGAGAUAAAAUGCUUGCGCAAUUAAACCCAAUAAACAUGCAAAAUAUAGAACAUCUCUUCAUGGAUGGUGAUUGAGAUGGGGGUUGUUGUUGCAGAUUGAGUGGGCGGAGAUGACCCUAAUGAUGCAUUGGUGUUGAAUGGAUUCGUAUUCCCACAAUUGGAUGUGGUGGAUCUAGUGGGGCCAGCCCUCCAGAAAAAGAGUAUUCUCUAUUCCUCCCAAAUACGGAAAAAUACAUAAUAUUUCGUGUGCGAAUUAGAUGUUAGGGAAGACGAUAUGUAGCAGAGAGAAGGUCAAGGAAUCCAAGUAGGACCCACACAUGAAGAUUGCAUACCCCGGACCUCUCAAUGCUAACCUUGAACCUGAUGCACGGGCUUUGUUAAUCUUGAUCCUGAUGCACGAGCGCUUUCCAUGUUGAUCCUUAUGCACAUGGUGGACUCCCUAUUAAUUUUAUUAAAUUGCCAUGGAUACAUGUGUUGGUAGUGUUGGAAAUAUGCCCUAGAGGAAUAAUGAAUUAGUUAUUAUUAUGUUUCCUUGUUCAUGAUAAUCAUUUAUUAUCCAUGCUAUAAUUGUAUUGAUUGGAAUUCAAAUACAUGUGUGGGUAUAUAGACAAAACACUAUCCCUAAUGAGCCUCUAAGGACUAGCACGUUGAUCAAAGAUGGUCAAGGUUUCCUGGCCAUAGACAUGAGUGGUCAUUUGAUAACGGGGUCACAUCAUUAGGAGAAUGAUGUGAUGGACAAGACUCAAACUAUGAACGUAGCAUGUGAUCAUGUCAUUUUAUUGCUACUGUUUUUCUGCAUGUCAAGUAUAUGUUCCUAUGACCAUGCGAUCAUGUAACUCACUGACACCGGAGGAAUACCUUGUGUGUAUCAAACGUCGUAACGUAACUGGGUGACUAUAAAGGUGCUCUACACGUAUCUCCAAAGGUGUUCAUUGAGUUAGCAUGGAUCAAGACUGGGAUUUGUCACUCCAUAUGACGGAGAGGUAUCUCGGGGCCCACUCGGUAAUACAACAUCACAACAAGCCUUGCAAGCAAUAUGAUUAAAGAGUUAGACAUGGUUUUUUUUAUUAUGAAAUGAGUAAAGAGACUUGCAGGUAACGAUAUUCAAAUAGUAUAGAUAUACCGACGAUCGAAUCUCGGGUAAGUAACAUACCGAAGGACAAAGGGAAUACGGGAUUAACUGAAUCCUUGACAUAGAGGUUCAACCGAUAAAGAUCUUCGUGGAAUAUGUAGGAGCCAAUAUGGACAUCCAGGUCCCACUAUUGGUUAUUGGUCAGAGAAUGUCUCGAUCAUGUCUACAUAGUUCUCGAACCCGUAGGGUCCGCACACUUAAGGUUCAGUGACGUUUCGGUAUUAUUGAGUUAUGAAUGUUGGUGACCGAAAGUUGUUCGGUGUUUGAGAUGAGAUCCCGGACAUCACGAGACCUCCGGAAUGAUCCGGAGGUAAAGAGUGAUAUAUAGGAAAGUUGCAUUUGGCUUCCGGAAAGAUUUCGGGCAUUACCGGUAAAGUACCGGGAGUGACGAAUGGGUUCCGUGGUUUCACUGCGACGGGCCACCCACCCGGGAGGAGACCGAGUAGGCCUAAAGGUGGCGCACCAACACCUAGUGGGCUGAUGUGGCCAUCCCAAUAAAACCUAUUUCGGCCAAGUGUACAAGUAAAAAGGAAAAAGGAAAAAAAGGGAGGAGGAGACCAACUAGGAAGGGAGUCCUCCACCAAACCGAAUUGGGGGAGGACUCUCCUCCCUAGCUCGGUCGAACCUCUCCUCCUUGAGGAGGAGGCAAUGUAGCCCUCCCACCUCUUCCUCCUAUAUAUAGUGGAGGUUUUGAGGGCAACACACACCUGAAAAUCCACGUGCUGCCUGAUACGUCCAUUUUGCAUCAUGCUUUCAUGUUGAUAUUUAUCGCUUUAUGGACUGUUAUUAUACUUUGUGGUACCAUACUUAUGCCUUUUCUCUCUUAUUUUGCAAGGUUUAUUUGAAGAGGGAGAAUACCGGCAGCUGGAAUUCUAGACUGGAAAAGGAGCAAGUCUGAGUCCUCUAUUCUGCGCAACUCCAAAUGCCCUGAAAAUCAACGUGGAUUUUUUUGGGAAUAUAUAAAAAAUACUGGGCGAAAGAACUGUCAGAGGGGAGCAGCCAGGGGCCCACAAGCCUGGUUGCCGCGGCCUACCCCCCUGGCCGUGGCAACAGGGCUUGUGGGCACCUUGGUGGCCCACUGGCCCCCCUCUUUUGCUAUAUGAAGGGUUUCGUCCGAGAAAAAAUCAGGGUGGAGCUUUUUCUUGGAUUCGCCGCCGCCACGAGGCGGAACUUGAGCAAAACCAAUCUAGAGCUCCGGCAGGACGAUCCUGCCGGGGAAACUUCCCUCCCGGAGGGGGAAAUCAUCGCCAUCGUCAUCACCAACACUCCUCUCGUCGGAGGGGAGUCAUCUCCAUCAACAUCUUCAUCAACACCAUCUCCUCUCCAAACCCUAGUUCAUACCAAUCUCCGUCUCGCGACUCUGAUUGGUACUUGUAAGGUUGCUAGUAGUGUUGAUUACUCUUUGUAGUUGAUGCUAGUUGGAUUACUUGGUGGAAGAGUUUAUAUUCAGAUCCUUGAUGCUACUCAUUACACCUUUGAUCAUGAUUAUGAUUAUGCUUCGUGAGUAGUUACUUUUGUUCCUGAGGACAUGGGAUAAGUCAUGCUGAUAAUAGUCAUGUGAAUUUGGUAUUCGUUCGGUAUUUUGAUAUGUUGUAUGUUGUCUUUUCCUCUAGUGGUGUUAUGUGAACGUCGACUACAUAACACUUCACCAUCUUUGGGCCUAGAGGAAGGCAUUGGGGAGUAGUAAGUAGAUGAUGGGUUGCUAGAGUGACAGAAGCUUAAACCCCAGUCUAUGCGUUGCUUCGUAAGGGGCUGAUUUGGAUCCACUAGUUUAAUGUUAUGGUUAGACGUUGUCUUAAUUCUUCUUUCGUAGUUGCAGAUGCUUACGAGAGGGGUUAAUCAUAAGUGGGAUGCUUGUCCAAGUAAGGGCAGUACCCAAGCACCAGUCCACCCAUAUAUCAAACUAUCAAAGUAACGAACGCGAAUCAUAUGAACAUGAUGAAACGAGCAUGACAGAAAUUCCCGUGUGUCCUCGGGAGCGUUUUCCCUCUUAUAAGACUUUGUUCAGGCUUGUCCCUUGCUACAAAAGGGAUUGGGCCACUUUGCUGCACCGUUGCUACUACUUGUUACUUGUUACCUUUCGCUUGCUACGUUUCACCUCACUACACCAUCACUUGUUACCGCUACUUUCAGUGCUUGCAGUUAUUACCUUGCUGAAAACCGUUUAUCAGAGCCUUCUUCUCCUCGUUGGGUUCGACACUCUUACUUAUCGAAAGGACUACGAUUUAUUCCCUAUACUUGUGGGUCAUCACUGCCCUCUCCUCCAUAGAUUGUCUACUUCAUCUAGAUUAGUCCGGCAUAGCUUGGCGAAGCCGUGCUGGAUUAGUUCACCACCACCACCACCACGCCGUCGUGCUGCCAGAGAACUCAUUUACCUCGCCGUCCCUCUUGCUGGAUCAAGAAGGUGGAGAUCAUCAUUGAGCUGUACGUAUGCUGGACGCGGAGGUGCCGUCCGUUCGGCACUAGAUCGGGAUGGACCGUGAUGGGAUCACGGGACGGAUCGUGAUGAGAUCGUGUGACGGAGUGCGAUUUGGAUCACGAAGAUGUUCGACUACAUCAACCGCGUUAUAUACGCUUCCACUUAGCGAUCUACAAGGUACGUGGAUCCGCACUCCCCCUCUCGUAGAUGGUCAUCACCAUGGAUAGAUCUUAUGUGUGCGUAGGAAAUUUUUUGUUUCCCAUGCAACGUUCCCCUUCAGUCGCAUCAUGAGCUAGGUCUAUGCAUAGAUGACAUCUCGAGUAGAACACAAAUUAGUUUGUGGGUGUUGAUAUUCAGAUUGCUGCCCUCCUUAGUCUUUUCUUGAUUCAGCGGUAUUGUUGGAUGAAGCGGCCCGGACAAACCUUACUUGUACGCUCACGAGAGACCGGUGCCAUCAACUGACAUGCAACUUGUUGCAUAAAGAUGGCUAGCGGUUGUCUGUUUCUCCUACUUUAGUUGAAUCGGAUUUGACAAAGGCGGUCCUUGGAGAAGGUUAAAUAGCAACUUGUGUAUCACCAUUAUGGUUAUGCGUAGGUAAGAAUCGUUCUUGCUAGAUACCCAUAGCAGCCAUGUAAAAGAUGCAACAACAAAUUAGAUGACAUCUAACUUGUUUUUGCAGGGUAUGCAUGUGAUGUGAUAUGGCCAAAGACAUGAUAUGAUAUAUUUGAUGUAUGAGAUGAUCAUGUCGUAAUAGUUAAAUAUCGACUUGCAUGUCGAUGCUACGACAACCGGCAGGAGCCAUAGGGUUGUCUUUAAUUAUUUUGCGCUUGGUGAUGCUUUGCUUUAUCGCUAGUUCAGUAGCUUUAGUAGCAAUAGCAUAGUUAACGCGAAAACCUCGAUGGCAGCACAAUGAUGGAGAUCAUGGUGUGGCGUCGGUGACGAUGGAUAUCAUGCCCGUGAUUUGAAGGUGGAGAUCAAAAAGCACAAGUUCAUGGCCAUAUCAUGUCACUUAUGAUUUGCAUGUGAUGUUAAUCCUUUUUAUGCACCUUGUUUUGCUUAGGACGACGGUAGCAUUAUAAGGUGAUCCCUCACUAAAAUUUCAAGAUAAAAUUGUGUUCUCCCCUAGGUUGCACCGUUGCGUAAGUUUGCCGUUUCGAGACACCACGUGAUGAUCGGCUGUGAUAGACUCUACGUUCACAUACAAUGGAUACAAAACAAUUGCAUACGCGAAACACUGGGGUUAAACUUGACGAGCCUAGCAUGUACAGACAUGGCCUCUGAACACAAGAGACCGAAAGAUCGAACAUGACUCAUAUAGUAGAUAUGAUGAACAUAGAGAUGUUCACCAGUAAAGCUAACUCAACUCAUGUCAUGAUCGGACUUGAGUUAAUGAAUUUGGAUCACGCACCACUCAACUGAGCACAGGGUUGUCAAUUUGGGUGGGAGUUCUUAAGUAAUAUGAUUAAUUGAACUCAUUAUCAUGAACAUAGUCAAAAUGCCUUUGCAAAUUAUGUUGUUGUUGGAAAUAUGCCUAGAGGCAAUAAUAAAUUGGUUAUUAUUAUAUUUCCUUGUUCAUGAUAAUCGUUUAUUAUCCAUGCUAUAAUUGUAUUGAUUGGAAACUCAAAUACAUGUGUGGAUACAUAGACAAAACACUGUCCCUAGUAACCCUCUAGUUGACUAGCUCAUUGAUCAAAGAUGGUUAAGGUUUACUAGCCAUAGACAAGUGUUGUCACUUGAUAACGGGAUCACAUCAUUAGGAGAAUGAUGUGAUGGACAAGGCCCAAACUAUAAACAUAGCAUGAUCGUGUCAGUUUAUUGCUACUAUUUCAUGCAUGUCAAUGUAUUUGUUCCUAUGACCAUGAGAUCAUAUGCAACUCCCAGACACCGGAGUAAUACCUUGUGUAUAUCAAACGUCGCAACGUAACAGGGUGACUAUAAAGGUGCUCUACAGAUAUCUCCGAAGGUGUCUAUUGGGUUGGCGUGAAUCGAGACUGGGAUUUGUCACUCCAUAUGACGGAGAGGUAUCUCGGGGCCCAAUCGGCAAUACAACAUCACAAUAAGUCUUGCAAGCAAUGUGACUAAGAAGUUAGUCACGGGAUCUUGUAUUACGGAAGGAGUAAAGAGACUUGCCGAUAACGAGAUUGAACUAGGUAUAGAGAUACCGACGAUCGAAUCUCGGGCAAGUAACAUACCGAAGGACAAAGGGAACAACAUACGAGAUUAAUUGAAUCCUUGACAUAGAGGUUCAACUGAUAAAGAUCUUCGUAGAAUAUGUAGGAGCCAAUAUGGGCAUCCAGGUCCCGCUAUUGGUUAUUGGCCGUAGAGGUGUCUUGGUCAUGUCUGCAUAGUUCUCGAACCCGUAGGGUGUGCACACUUAAGGUUCGAUGACGUUUUGGUAUAGUUGAGUUAUAUGUGUUAGUAACCGAAAGUUGUUCGGAGUCCCGGAUGAGAUCUCGGACAACAGAGGAGCUCCAGAAUGGUUUGGAGUUAAAGAUUGAUACAUAGUAAGUCCUAUUUUGGUCACCGGAAAAGUUUCAGGCUCAUCGGUAGUGUACCGGGAGUGCCGGGAGGGUACCGGGGACCAUCGAGAGGGAUGUCAUGCCCCGAGGGGCCUUAUGGGCUGUGGGAGGAUACAAACCAACCCCUAGUGGACUGACAUAAGCUCCCACUAAGUCCCAUGAGGUUUGAGAAGGAAAGAAACCCAAAGGUGGAAAAGGUGGAAAGGGUUUCCAAGUGGAGAGGAGGAAUCCUACUCCUACUAGGAUUGGAGUAGGACUCUUCCACCUCCAAUUUCGGCCAAACCUUGAGGGUUUGAGGCUGCCUCCUCCCCUCCCUCCCUCCUAUAUAUACUAGAGGUAUUGAGGGUUUUUGAGACACAUAAAAAACAACCACAUGUUGCCCUCUCUCUCUAGAUCUGUUUCUCCUCUAGUCUAGUUUCAGCGGUGCUUAGGUAAAGCCCUGCUAGAAUAGCUCCACCACCACAACCACCAUGCCGCCGUGCUGGAGAACUCAUCUACCUCUCCGCCCCUCUUUCUGGAUCAAGAAGGUGGGGAUCAUCAUCGAUCUGUACGUGUGCUGAACGCGGAGGUGCCGUCGGUUCGGCACUAGAUUGGGAUGGAUCGUGAUGGGAUCGCGGGAUGGAUCGUGAUGAGAUCGCGGGACGGACUGCGAUUUGGAUAGCGAAGAUGUUCCACUACAUCAACCGCGUUAUAUACGCUUCCGCUUAGCGAUCUACAAGGGUAUGUAGAUUCACUCUCUCCUCUCGUAGAUGACCAUCACCAUGGAUAGGUAUUUGAUACGUCUCCAUCGUAUCUACUUUUCCAAACUCUUUUGCCCUUGUUUAAUUUGGACUCUAAUUUGCAUGAUUUGAAUGGAACUAACCUAGACUGACGCUGUUUUCAGCAGAAUUGCCUUGGUGUUAUUUUUGUGCAGAAAUCAAAGUUCUCCCAACGUCGUGAAAAUUUACGGGGAGCAGUUUUGGAAAAAAAGAAAAAUAUCUGCGCCAAGUUCCACCUGAGGGGGUGGGCCACAAGCCCUGGCUCCGCCACCACCCCCCUGGUGGCGGUGGGCAGGCUUGUGGGGCCCACACGGCUCUGCUGGCCCCAACCUCAGGUCUAUAAGUUCACUUUCGUCCCAGAAAAAUUAAAAAGAGAAGUUUUCGUCGCGUUUGCGAUACGGAGCCGCUGCCACCACCUGUUCUUCAUCUGGAGGGCAGAUCUGGAGUCCGUCUUGGGCUCUGGAGAGGGGAAAUCGUCGCCAUCGUCAUCAUCAAUCUUCUUCCCUCUCCAAUUCCAUGAAGCUCUUCGUCGUUCGUGAGUAAUCUAUUCGUAGGCUCGCUGGGCGGUGAUGAGUAGGAUGAGAUCUAUCAUGUAAUCGAGUUAGUUCUGAUGGUGAUUGAUCCCUAGUAUCCACUAUGUUUUGAGAUUGAUGUUGCUACUACUUUUCCAUGCUUAAUGCUUGUCACUAGGGCCCGAGUGCCAUGAUUUCAUAUCUGAAAUUAUUAUGUUGUCACCAAUAUAUGUGUGUUUUAGAUCCGAUCUUGCAAGUUGUAGCUACCUACUAUGUGUUAUGAUCCGGCAACCCCGGAGUGACAAUAACCGGAACCACUCCCGGUGAUGACCAUAGUUUGAGGAGUUCAUGUGUUCACCAAUUGCUAAUGCGUUGGUCCGGUUCUUUAUUAAAAGGAGAACCUUAAUAUCCCGUAGUUUCCUUUUGGACCCCGCUGCCACGGGAGGGAUGGACAAUAGAUGUCAUGCAAGUUCUUUUCCCUAAGCACGUAUGACGACCCACGGAAUGCAUGCCUGCAUCACAUUGAUGAACGGGAGCUAGACACAUAUCUCUCCGUGUUAUAACUGUUGCAUGAUGAAUAUCAUCCAAACAAAUCACCGACCCAUUGCCUACGAGUUUGUCCUACUGCUGAUGUUACUUGUUUUGCUCUGCUGUUGUUACUACUGUUGCUGCUGCUACUGUUGCUACUACUGUCGCUUGCUACUAUUGGUACUUGCUACUGCUGUCACUACUGUUGUUCCUUGCCACUGCCGUUACUCUCUACUUUGCUGUUACUACUUUGCUUGCAGAUACUAAUCUUUCAGGUGUGGUUGAAUCUGACACAUUCAGCCGCUAAUACUUGAGAGUAUUCUCUCACCUCCUGUUUGGCGAAUCAACAAAUUUGGGUCGAAUACUCUACCCUCGAAAACUGCUGCGAACCCACGCGCUGGUGGGCCGUCAACAACAUUCUGCUAGUUCCAUUACUGGGGAGUGCUAGCAGCAUUCUUCUGGUGCCGUUGCAGGGGAAGCUUUGUUGUCACAGAAUCAGCAUUCGUCUAGCUAUUUCCAGAGAGUGCCAGUCAGCAUUUUUCUGGCGCCGUUGCCGGGGAGGUAUUGCUAUAUUCUGUGAGUCACUUGGGAUUUAUAUCUGCUGAUCACUAUGAAGAAUCUGAAGGAUCCGAAAACCAAAGUCUUGCCCUCAACUACGAGGGGAGGUAAGGAAUUGCCAUCUAGCUCUGCACUUGAUUCACCUUCAGUUAUGAGUAAGUUUGCGACAUCACCUCCUGCUAGAAAUCUUGAUAUGUCGCCUGUGCUUGAUGAUGCUUAUGAUGCUACUGCUAGAGAUGCUAUGCUUGAUACUUCUAGAGAUGCUAAGCUUGAUACUGCUUUGCCUGAUGAUGCUAGAGAUGCUAUUUUGCCUGAUGUUGCUAUGCUUGAUACUGCUAGAGAUACUACUUUGCCUGAUGUUCCACUAGGGGUGUUCCUUGAUGCUCAUAUUGCUAGAGUUACUCCCAAUGCUCGUGAUACUUCUGAAACUACCGAUACUAUUGAGAUAGAACCUGCUUUUGCUCCUGCUAGAUCUAGCUCUCCUAGAUAUGAAUUGCCUGAUAUACCUGAGGGUUACGUUAUGGAGGGAGAGAUAGCUGAGGAUUUUCUUACGUGUAAGGAUGCCUAUGACGCUGAGAAAUUACUUCUCAAGUGGAAGGAAAAAUCUCGGGAAGCUAAGAUGAAAUAUGACCCGAAGUUUGCCACUUCACCUAUCUUUAUCACCGAUAAGGAUUAUGAAUUCUCUGUCGACCCUGAGAUAAUCUCUCUAGUCGAAUCUAAUCCUUUUCACGAUUAUGAGUCUGAGACUGUCGUAGCCCAUCUUGCCAAACUACACGAUAUAGCCACCCUUUUCACUAAUGAGGAGAAGAUCCACCGCUACUAUAUCCUUAAGCUGUUUCAUUUCUCUCUAAAGGAUGACGCUAAAGCCUGGUUCAUCUCUCUUGCUCCUGGAUGUGUGAGUAGUCCCCGGGAGAUGGUCUAUUACUUCUGUGAGAAAUAUUUCCCUGCCCAUAAGAAGCAAGCUGCCUUGCAGGAAAUAUACAACUUUGCUCAACUCCAAGAAGAGAGUCUCCCACAAGCUUGGGGGAGGCUCGUCCAGCUACAGAAUGCUUUGCCUGAUCACCCUCUUAAGAAGAACGAGAUACUUGAUAUCCUCUAUAACGGACUUACUGAUGCCUCUAGAGACCACCUAGAUAGUUGUGUCGGUUGUGUUUUUAGGGAACGAACUAUAGAACAAGCUGAGACCCUACUGAAUAACAUCGUGAUCAACGAUAAUGCUUGGACUAUUCCUGAACCACCUCCGAAGCCAACUCCUAAGAAAAGAGGUAUUCUAUUCCUCAGUUCUGAAGAUAUGCAAGAAGCCAAGAAAUCCAUGCAAGAGAAAGGCAUUAGAUCUAAAGAUAUCAAAAAUCUACCACCUAUCGAAGAGAUCCAUGGUCUCGAUAACCCGAUAUAGGUAGUGGUAGUGAAUUCUCUGCGUAGGUUUGAUGAGAGUGAUAUUCCUUUUGAUAAACCUGCUAGCCUAUGCUUUGAUGAAUUUGAAAACUUUGUUGCCAAACAACAGAGUUUCAAUGAUUAUGUUAGCAGACAUUUGGAACAAAGUACUCGUAUGCUUAGCCAUUUAAGUGCUUGUGUAGACAGAAAUAUAAAUGCUCUGAAGCUUCUGAGUAAACAUGACUCUAUGAUUACUACUCAGGUAGAACAAGUACUUAAAGCUUAUAAUAACUUGCUCAAUGAAUUACAGGACAACUCUGUCAGAGUCAUUACUAGAGGAGGCAAAAUGACUCAGGAACCUUUGUAUCCUGAAGGUCAUCCUAAGAGAAUUGAUCAAGAUUCUCAAGGAGUCAAUGCUGAUACACCUAGUCAUCCUAAGGAGAAGAAGAAGGAUGAUAGAAACCUGCAUGCCAGUUCACCAAAUACUGUCACACCUAAAGAACCUAAUGAUAUUUCUGCGUCUGAUGCAGAAACACAAUGUGGUGAUGAACAUGAACCUGGUGACAAUAUGGACAAUGAUGUUCAUAAUAAUGCUCAACCUAGCAAUGAUGAGGAUGUGGAGAUUGAACCUACGGUUAAUCCUGAUAACCCACAACCUUAGAAAUAUGAUAAGAAUGACUUCACUGCUAGGAAGCAUGGUAAAGAAAGAGAGCCAUGGGUUCAGAGACCUAUGCCCUUCCCUCCUAAGCAAUCCAAGAAAAAGGAUGAUGAGGAUUUUGAGCGCUUCGUUGAGAUGAUUUGACCCAUCUUUCUGCAGAUGCGGUUAACUGAUAUGCUCAAGAUGUCUCCGUAUGCCAAGUACAUGAAAGAUAUCGUGACUAAUAAACGGAAGAUACCGGAUCUUGAGAUCUCCACCAUGCUUGCCAACUACACUUUCAAAGGUGGAAUUCCUAAGAAACUUGGUGAUCCCGGAGUGCCCACUAUACCUUGCUCCAUUAAAGGAAACUACGUAAGAACUGCCUUAUGUGACCUUGGAGCGAGUGUUAGUGUUAUGCCACUCUCUCUUUAUCGUAGACUUGAGUUGGAUAAGUUGACACCCAGUGAAAUUUCUCUGCAAAUGGCCGACAAGUCAGCUUCUUUCCCUAUCGGCCUUUGCGAGGAUGUGCCUGUUGUGGUUGCUAACACCACUAUCUUAAGAGACUUUGUUAUCUUGGAUAUUCCCGAGGACGAUGUCAUGGCUGUCAUCCUCGGAAGACCCUUUUUAAAUACUGCAGGGGCUGUUAUAGAUUGCAACAAAGGCAAUGUCACUUUCCAUGUCAACGGUAAUGAGCACACAGUGCACUUUCCGAAGAAACGAUAUCAAGUACAUUGCAUCAAUGCUAUCGAAAAGACUUCAUCGAUUCUCAUUGGGAUCUUUGAAUGUCCUAUUCCUCAUGUCAAGAUGAAGUAUGAUUUUCUUGUUGGGGAGAUACAUAUCCCCAUUGAGGUGACUUAGUGGCUAUUAGAAAUUUCUCCGUUCUCUCUUGUGAUUCGAGAAGGUUUUGUCAUAAGGACUUGAUCAAUCCCAUUGACGGAUUUCUUCCGAUGACCAUGAAACGGAUGAAUCAAAGAGCCACAUACCUCCGUUUAGAGCUUUCAUUUUCUUUUGCUUAGAAGAAAAAUGAUAGAAUUAGUUUAGCUUUUCCUGUUUUCUGUUUUAGCGUCCCGGAGAAAAAUACCUCAAAAAUAAAAGUUCUCCGAUGGUCCUGAAAAUUUAGUAUGAUUUUUUUUGGAAUUUUUGAAAAUUUCUGGGCCUAAGAGCUGGCCUGGGGGCCAGACCAGUGGGCCACAAGCCCUACCACCGCCACCUACCCCCUUGGUGGCGGAGUGCAAGCUUGUGGGGCCCACAUGGACCCCCUCCACUCAUUCCAGCUCCCAGCCUCUUCUUCCACCUCCAGGAAAAAUUGUUUCGCAGCUCAAACCCGUGUUCUUGCUCACUUGGCUGUAAUUUUCGAUCUCCUUGCUCAAAGCACCAUUCUUCGAACCGUUUUGGGGAAAUUACUCCUUCGUAAGUGACUCCUCCAUUGGUCCAAUUAGUUUUUUCUCUAGUGCUUUAUCCUUCGCGAAUUCUUGCUACCUUGGUGACCCUGUUCUUGAGCUUGAAAGGUUGAUUUUAGCUGGUCCCAAGUAGUUUUAGCGCGUGAUACGGUCUCUAGGCACUAGUAGGAGUAGUUGCUACAAGGUAUGUGAUACGUCCAUUUUGCAUCAUGCUUUCAUGUUGAUAUUUAUUGCUUCUUGGGCUGUUAUAUUACUUGUGGUACCAUAUUUAUGCCUUUUCUCUGUUAUUUUGCAAGGUUUAUUUGAAGAGGGAGAAUUCAGGCAGCUGGAAUUCUGGACUGGAAAAGGAGCAAAUCCUAGUCCACUAUUCUGCACAUCUCCAAAUUCCGUGAAUAUUUACAUGGAUUUUUUCUGGAAUAUAUUAAAAAUACUCGGUGAAAGAACUACUGGAGGGGGGCCACGAGGGCCCCACAAGCUUGCCCACCGCCACCACCCCCCUGGUGGCGUAGGGAAGGCUUGUGGGCUUCCUGAAGGCCCACUAGCCCCUCUCUUUUGCUAUAUGAAGCGUCCUGGCCUGGAAAAAAUCAAUAGGGAGCUUUUUCGUGGUUUCGCCGCCGCCACGAGGCGGAACUUGAGCAGAUCCAAUCUAGAGCUCUGGCAGGACGAUCCUGCCGGGGAAAUUUCCCUCCCGGAGGGGGGAAUCGUCGCCAUCGUCAUCACCAACACUCCUCUCGUCGGAGGGGAGGCAUCUUCAUCAACAUCUUCAUCAGCACCAUCUCCUCUCCAAUCCUUAGUUCAUCUCUUGUAACCAAUCUUCGUCUCGCAACUCAGAUUGGUACUUGUAAGGUUGCUAGUAGUGUUGAUUACUCCGGGUAUGAUUAUGAUUAUGUCUUGUGAGUAGUUACUUUUGUUCCCGAGGACAUGGGAUAAGUCAUACUCAUAAUAGUCAUGUGAAUUUGAUAUUCGUUCGGUAUUUUGAUAUGUUGUAUGUUGUUUUUCCUCUAGUGGUGUUAUGUGAAUGUCGACUACAUAACACUUCACCAUAUUUGGGCCUAGAGGAAGGCAUUGUGAAGUGGUAAGUAGAUGAUGGGUUGCUGGAGUGACAGAAGCUUAAACCCCAGUCUAUGCAUUGCUUCGUGAGGGGCUGAUUUGGAUCCACUAGUUUAAUGCUAUGGUUAGACUUUGUCUUAAUUCUUCUUUUGUAGUUGCGGAUGCUUGCGAGAGAGGUUAAUCUUAAGUGGGAUGCUUGUCCAAGUAAGGGCAGUACCCAAGCGCCGGUCCACCCACAUAUCAAACUAUCAAAGUAACAAACGCGAAUCAUAUGAACAUGAUGAAACUAGCAUGGCAGAAAUUCCCGUGUGUCCUCGGGAGCGUUUUUCCUCGUAUAAGAAUUUGUUCAGGCUUGUCCCUUGCUAUAAAAGGGAUUGGGCCACUAGCUGCACCAUUGCUACUACUUGUUACUUGUUACUCUUUGCUUGCUACGUUUCACCUCGCUACACAAUCACUUGUUACCGCUACUUUCAGUGCUUGCAGUUAUUACCUUGCUGAAAUCCGUUUAUGAGACCCUUUUGCUCCUCGUUGGGUUCGACACUCUUACUUAUCGAAAGGACUACGAUUGAACCCCUAUACUUGUGGAUCAUCAAGACUCUUUUCUGGCACCGUUGCCGGGGAGUGAAGUGCCUUUGGUAAGUGGAAAUUGGUAAGGAAACAUUUAUAUACUGUGCUGAAAUUUAUUGUCACUUGUCUCUAUGGAAACUCUUCCUUUGAGGAGUUUGUUCGGGGUAUCUUCACCACGAACGGAAGCACGAGGAGUUUCUCCUCAACCGGAGGUACCUACAGAAAAUAUCUUUUAUGAAAUUCCUUUGGGUAUGCUUGAGAAACUGCGGCUAAUCCUUUUACACGAGAUGGAUCUUCACAUCCAGACUUUCAUCUAAUCUAUGUAGAUGAAGUUUGUGGUUUAUUUAAGCUUGCAGGUUUGCCCAAGGAUGAGGUAAAGAAGAAAGUCUUUCCUUUAUCUUUGAAGGAUAAGGCGUUGACAUGGUAUAGGCUAUGUGAUGAUGCUGGAUCAUGGGGCUACAAUCGGUUGAAAUUGUAAUUUCAUCAAAUGUUCUAUCCUAUGCAUUUAGUAGAUCGUGAUCGGAACUUUAUUUAUAACUUUUGGCCUCGUGAUAGGGAAAGCAUAGCUCAAGCUUGGGGAGGCUUAAAUCAAUGCUAUAUUCAUGCCCCAAUCAUGAGCUCUCGAGAGAAAUCAUCACUCAAAACUUUUAUGCUUGGCUUUCUCAUGAAGAUCGUACCAUGCUUGACACUUCUUGUGCCGGUUCUUUAUGAAGAAGGAUAUUGAUCACAAGUGAAAUUUAUUGGAGAGAAUCAAACACAACUCUGAAGAUUGGGAGCUGGAGGAAGGUAAGGACUCAGGUAUGAAUUUCCAGUUUGAUUGUGUUAAAUCUUUUGUUGAGACAAACACUUCUAGAGAUUUUAGCGCUAAGUAUGGACUUGACUCUGAGAUAGUAGCUUCUCUAUGUGAAUCUUUUGCUGCUCAUGUUGAUCUUCCCAAAGAGAAGUGGUUUAAAUAUCGUCCUCGUGUAGAAAGCAACAUAGCCAAAACCAAUCUAGUUGAGGAGAAAAUCAUAGCUUUUAGUGAUCCUGUUGUUCCUUGUGCUUACACUGAGAAACCACCAUACCCUGCUAGGAUGAAGGACUAUUCUAAAGCUCCAACUGUGAUACGUAGGGGUUACAUUAGACCACUUGCACCCCCCGAGGAGAUUAGAGUUGAACCUAGUGUUGCUAUUAUCAAAGAUCUCUUAGCCGAAGACAUAGACAGGCAUGUUAUUAAAUUCUGUGAGGACUCCGCUAGAAUUGCUAAACCUCACGUGAAAGACAAGCACGGACCUGUAGUUGGCCUGCCCGUUGUUUCUGUUAAGAUAAGAGAUCACUGUUAUCAUGGUUUAUGUGAUAUGAGAGCUAGUGUUAGUGCAAUACCCCGUUCUCUCUAUGAUGAAAUCAAAGAUGAGAUUGCACCUGCUGAGUUACAACCCAUUGAUGUCACUAUUACGUUAGCUAAUAGAGACACUAUCUGCCCUCUGGGAAUUGUGGGAGACGUAGAAGUCCUGUGUGGUAAGACGAAGUAUCCUACUGAUUUCCUCGUCCUUGGUACUGCACAAGAUAGCUUUUGUCCCAUCAUAUUUGGUAGACCCUUUCUCAACACUGUCAAUGCUCACAUUGAUUGCAUUAAGCAGACUGCCACAGUAAGUUUUGAGGGUGUGCCUCAUGAAUUUAACUUCUCCAAGUUUGGAAGACAACCCCAUGAAAGAGAGUCGUCUGGUAGAGAUGAAAUCAUUGCUCUUGCCUCUAUUUCCGUACCUCCUACGGAUCCUUUAGAGCAAUAUCUUCUUGAGCAUGAAAAUGAUAUGCAUAUGGAGGAGAGAGAUGAGAUAGAUAGAAUUGUCUUAGAACAAUAUCCUAUUCUCAAGAAUAAUCUGCCUGUUGAACUGCUUGGGGAUCCUCCCCCACCAAAGGGAGAUCCUGUGUUCGAGCUUAAACAGUUGCCUGAUACUCUUAAGUAUGCCUGUCUUGAUGAGAAGGAGAUAUAUCCUGUCAUUAUUAGUGCUCUCCUCUCAGAGCGCGAAGAGAAGAAGUUACUAAAAACUCUGAAGAAGCACCGCGCUGCUAUUGGAUAUACUCUUGAUGAUCUUAAGGGUAUUGGUCCUACUCUAUGUCAGCACAAGAUUAAAACCGAUCCUGACUUUAAGCCAGUUGCUGAUCAUCAAAGGAGAUUAAAUCCUAAGAUAAAAGAGGUCGUUACAAAAGAAAUAUUAAAGCUUAUGGAAGCAGGAAUCAUUUAUCCUGUUGCUCAUAGUGAUUGGGUAAGUCCAGUACAUUGCCUACCUAAGAAGGGAGGUAUCACCGUCGUUCCUAAUGAUAAGGAUGAACUAAUCCCACAAAGUAUUAUUACCGGCUAUAGAAUGGUGAUAGACUUCCGGAAACUGAACAAGGCAACCAGGAAAGAUCAUUAUCCUUUGUCGUUCAUCGACCAAAUGCUAGAAAGGUUAUCAAAACACACACACUUCUGCUUUCUAGACGGUUAUUCAGGUUUCUCGCAAAUACCCGUUGCACAGUCUGAUCAAGAGAAAACCACUUUCACCUGCCCUUUCGGUACCUUUGCCUAUAGAUGUAUGCCUUUUGGCUUAUGUAAUGCACCCGCCACCUUCCAAAGAUGUAUGAUGGCUAUAUUCUCUGACUUUUGUGAAAAGAUUGUCGAGGUUUUCAUGGAUGACUUCUCUGUUUACGGGUCUUCCUUUGAUGAUUGCCUCAGCAACCUUAAUCGAGUCUUACAGAGAUGCGAAGAAACCAACCUCGUCUUGAAUUGGGAGAAGUGCCACUUUAUGGUUAAUGAAGGUAUCGUCUUAGGACACAAAAUCUCUGAAAGAGGCAUUGAAGUUGAUAAGGCUAAGGUUGAUGCAAUUGAGAAAAUGCCUUGCCCCACAGAUAUCAGAGGUAUACGAAGUUUCUUAGGUCAUGCUGGUUUCUAUAGAAGGUUCAUUAAAGACUUUUCUAAGAUUUCUAGGCCUCUUACCAACCUCUUGCAGAAGGAUGUUCCUUUUGUUUUUGAUGAGGAUUGUGAGGAAGCCUUCGAAAUACUUAAGAAGGCUUUGAUAACCGCACCUAUUGUUCAACCACCUGACUGGAACUUGCCCUUUGAAAUCAUGUGUGACGCUAGUGAUUAUGCUGUUGGUGCUGUUGUAGGACAAAGAGUUGACAAGAAGUUGAAUGUCAUUCACUACGCUAGUAAAACUCUAGACAGUGCCCAAAGAAACUAUGCCACUACGGAGAAGGAAUUUUUAGCAGUCGUGUUUGCAUGUGAAAAGUUCAGAUCUUACAUAGUUGACUCCAAAGUCACUAUUCAUUCUGAUCAUGUUGCUAUUAAGUACCUUAUGCAGAAGAAGGACGCUAGGCCUAGGCUGAUCAGAUGGGUUCUCCUGCUACAGGAAUUUGAUUUGCACGUCGUUGACCGAAAAGGUGCGGAUAACCUUGUAGCAGAUAACUUGUCUAGGCUAGAGAAUGUCCUUGAUGACCCACUACCAAUUGAUGACAGCUUUCCUGAUGAGCAAUUAAAUGUCAUCCGCACUUCACUUAGUGCACCGUGGUAUGCCGAUUAUGCAAACUAUAUCAUAGCCAAAUACAUACCACCCAGUUUCACCUAUCAACAAAAGAAGAAAUUCUUCUUUGAUUUGAGACACUAAUUUUGGGAUGAUCCUCACCUUUAUAAGGAAGGAGUAGAUGGUGUUAUUAGACGUUGUGUGCCUGAACAUGAACAGGGACAGAUCCUGUAGAAGUGUCAUUCCGAAGCCUACGGAGGACACCAUGCUGGAGAUAGAACUGCCCACAAGGUAUUGCAAUCAGGUUUCUAUUGGCCCACUCUCUUCAAGGAUGCUCGUAAGUUUGUCUUAUCUUGUGACGAAUGCCAAAGGAUAGGGAACAUUAGUAAGCGUCAAUAGAUGCAUAUGAACUAUUCACUUGUCAUUGAACCAUUUGAUGUCUGGGGCUUUGAUUAUAUGGGACCCUUCCCGAGUUCCAAUGGGUACACUCACAUCUUAGUUGCUGUGGAUUACGUUACUAAGUGGGUAGAAGCUAUCCCCACUAAAAAUGUUGAUCACCACACCUCUAUUAAGAUGCUUAAAGAAGUCAUAUUCCCAAGAUUUGGAUUCCCUAGAUACUUGAUGACUGAUGGUGGUUCACACUUCAUUCAUGGUGUUUUCCGCAAGAUGCUAGCUAAGUAUGAUGUCAACCAUAGAGUUGCAUCUCCUUAUCAUCCUCAGUCUAGUGGUCAAGUGGAGUUGAGUAAUAGGGAGAUCAAGUUGAUCCUACAAAAGACCGUCAAUAGAUCUCGAAAGAACUGGUCUAGCAAACUUGACGAUGCACUAUGGGCUUAUAGGACUGCUUAUAAGAAUCCCAUGGGCAUGUCACCGUAUAAAAUGGUUUACGGUAAGGCCUGUCAUUUACCUCUUGCGUUGGAACACAAAGCUUAUUGGGCAAUCAAAGAGCUCAACUUUGAUUUCAAACUUGCCGGUUAGAAGCAGUUGUUUGAUAUCAGCUCGUUAGAUGAAUGGAGAGCCCAGGCAUAUGAGAAUGCCAGGUUGUUCAAGGAAAAGGUUAAGAGAUGGUACGACAAACGAAUACAGAAACGAGAGUUCAAUGUAGGUGAUUAUGUCUUGCUAUACAAUUCUCGUUUGAGAUUCUUUGCAGGCAAGCUUCUCUCUAAAUGGGAAGGUCCCUAUGUUGUCGAGGAAGUAUAUCGUUCCGGUGCCAUCAAAAUCAAUAACACGGAAGGAAAUUUUCCUAGAGUGGUAAAUGGGCAAAGAAUCAAGCAUUACAUCUCUGGUACUCCCAUAAAUGUUGAGACCAAUAUCAUCAAUGUCAUAACUCCAGAGGAGUACAUAAGGGAUGUUUAUCAGCCUGUUUCAGACCUUGAAAACGAAGAUGUAUCUGUUUCGCAAGAAAUUGUACUCCGAUACUUUUCCAAUAGAAAAUUUCCUCAGUUUUGGAAUUUUUGGAAAAUUAGAAAAAUAAAAAUAAGUCCGGAGAGCAAACGAGGAAGCCACAAGGGCCCACUCCGCCACCACCCCCUGGUGGCGGUGGGCAAGCUUGUGGGCACCUCGUAUGCCUCCCGGACUCCGUUUUCUUGCGGAGGACUCCUUCUGGCCCAGAAAAAAAAUCAAUAUAUAGUUGCCCGAAGGUUUUGAUCUCCGUAUCACGUAGUUUUCCUCUGUUUUUGUUUCGAGCUUGUUGUCUGCCGCAGAUUUAGAGAAAAGAUGUCUCAGGAAUCUGUUGGGGAGAAUGAUCUUCACCAAGUUCAUGAGGAAGUAGAUGCUGAUCUGAAAAGAGUAGAAGUUACAGAAGCCAGGGACCAAGCUAAGGAUAAAACCCAAGCUAGGGAGGAAGUUCAACCUAUGUCAACAUUGAAGACGUUGAAGGAGUAGACUUUCUCCAACCCUUCCUCCACAUGCUGUCUCCAUCCUUGAUUGAAGUCUUGAGGUUUUGCAAAACAACUCGUGCUCACAAUAUUUAUCUUUCUCGUGAAGUUGUUUUGCUGGAAAACCAUGUCACAGAUCUCAAAGGUAUAAAUCAAAGGUUGAUAGCUUUCUUGGAAUCAAAGGCGACAACAACACCACCAUCACCACCAAAGGAAGACAACUAAGCAUUGGUAUGGGCAAUCCCCUUCGCUUCUGCCAAGCUUGGGGGAGUUGCCCUGGUAUCGUAUCACCUUUAUAUCUUUUGCUUUUACCUUUGUUUUAGUUCUUUCCUUUUCAGUUUUUAUUUCUUCUUUUAGAGGAAUAAGUCUUUAGUUUGUAGUUUGAGUCUUUUGCUUUUGUCUCUCCCCCGAUGUAUUCGAGCUUACGAGCUAUAUAAUAAAGAGUGUCUUAGUCAAGGGCUUUGCUUUGUGCCAUGAUCAAAGAGUAUGAAAAGAAUGAUAGCAUGAAAGAUCAUGAGACGAUCUUAUGGAAAGUGAUAACUUCACUUAUGACAUGUAUGAUGAUUGAAACGUGUUGAGAAUAAAUCAACAUAGACAUUAGUCAUUGUUGCAAUUAAUAAGAAGUAAUAAGGAAAGAGUGGUCCACAUAUAAAUAUAUCAUCUUAGACACUUUUUACAAUUGUGAGCACUCACCAAACUAUUACAUUCCUAGGAGUAGAUGUUGAACAAGGAAGACAACAUAAUGAAUUGUGUUUGCUUGGUUCCAAACAAUGUUAUAUGAUUAGAGAUCCCUUAGCAUGUGACGAUUGCUUCCACCUCAUAUUAGCCAAAACCCCCGCACCAAGUAGAGAUACUACUUGUGCAUCCAUAAACCUCAAACCAGUUUUGCCAUGAGAGUCCACCAUACCUACCUAUGGAUUGAAUAAGAUCCUUCAAGUAAGUUGUCAUCGGUGCAAGCAAUAAAAAUUGCUCUCUAAUAUGUAUGAUCUAUUAGUGUGUGGAAAAUAAGCUUUGUACGAACCUGUGAUGAGGAAGACAUAAAAGCGACAGACUGCAUAAUAAAGUUCUUUGUCACAUGAGGCAAUAUAAAGUGACGUUUCUCCGCACUAAGAGGACAUGCAUCCAAACCUCAAAAGCGCAUGACAACCUCUGCUUCCCUCUGCGAAGGGCCUAUAUUGUACCUUUACUUUUUACCCUUGUAAGAGUCAUGGUGAUCAUCACCAAUUCCCUUUUUGCCCUUGUCUUGGCUACCGUCACAUUCUUGGGAAAGAUCUAUAUUCAUAUAUCAACUUGGAGUUGAGUACUCAUGCUUUAUUAUUGUUGACUUUACCCUUGAGGUAAACCGUUGGGAGACAAAACUAUAAGACCAUAUCUUCCUCUGUGUGUAGCUGAAGCUUUGACACCAUGAGUACCACGUGAGUUAUAACAAUUGUGGAAAAUAAAAGAGAUGAUUGAGUAUGUGGGUUUGCCUUACUAGCUCUUAUUUGACUCUUUCUGAUGUUGUGAUAAAUUGCAAUUGCUUCAGUGACUAUUGAUUAUUGUUGGUUACUUCUCGGUAAGGUUUUUGCUUCAUGCUUUGCUUUGUGAAGGAAUUGUUACUUUCCCAUAAGAAUAUUUAUGAUAUAUUAAUGUUCUAUGUGUGAUCAUGAUGCCCUCAUGUUCGUAUUAUGUUUUAUCGACACCUUCGUCCCUCAACAUGUGGACAUGUUUAUGGAACUUGGUUUUCGCUUGAGCACAAGCGAGGUCUAAGCUUGGGGGAGUUGAUACGUCCAUUUUGCAUCAUGCUUUCAUGUUGAUAUUUAUUGCUUCUUGGGCUGUUAUAUUACUUGUGGUACCAUAUUUAUGCCUUUUCUCUCUUAUUUUGCAAGGUUUAUUUGAAGAGGGAGAAUUCAGGCAACUGGAAUUCUGGACUGGAAAAGGAGCAAAUCCUAGUCCACUAUUCUGCACAUCUCCAAAUGCCCUAAAAAUUUACGUGGAUUUUUUUUGGAAUAUAUUAAAAAAUACUGGGCGACAGAACUACUGGAGGGGGCCACCACGGCCCCACAAGCUUGCCCACCGCCACCACCCCCAUGGUGGUGCAGGGCAGGCUUGUGGGCUGCGUGAAGGCCCACUAGCCCCCCUCUUUUUUUUAUAUGAAGCGUCCUGGUCUGGAAAAAAAUCAAUAGGGAGCUUUUUCGUGGUUUCGCCGCCGCCACGAGGCGGAACUUGAGCAGAUCCAAUCUAGAGCUCCAGGAGGACGAUCCUGUCGGGGAAAUUUCCCUCACGGAGGGGGGAAUCGUCGCCAUCGUCAUCACCAACACUCCUCUCGUCGGAGGGGAGGCAGCUUCAUCAAUAUCUUCACCAGCACCAUCUCCUCUCCAAUCACUAGUUCAUCUCUUGUAACCAAUCUUCGUCUCGCAACUCAGAUUGGUACUUGUAAGGUUGCUAGUAGUGUUGAUUACUCUUUGUAGUUGAUGCUAGUUGGAUUACUUGGUGGAAGAGUUUAUGUUCAGAUCCUUGAUGCUAUUCAUUAUACCUCUGGUCAUGAUUAUGAUUAUGUCUUGUGAGUAGUUACUUUUGUUCCUGAGGACAUGGGAUAAGUCAUGCUGAUAAUAGUCAUGUGAAUUUGAUAUUUGUUCGGUAUUUUGAUAUGUUGUAUGUUGUUUUUCCUCUAGUGGUGUUAUGUGAACGUCGACUACAUAACACUUCACCAUAUUUAGGCCUAGAGGAAGGCAUUGUGAAGUAGUAAGUAGAUGAUGGGUUGCUGGAGUGACAGAAGCUUAAACCCCAGUCUAUGCGUUGCUUCGUGAGGGGCUGAUUUGGAUCCAGUAGUUUAAUGCUAUGGUUAGACUUUGUCUUAAUUCUUCUUUUGUAGUUGCGGAUGCUUGCGAGAGAGGUUAAUCAUAAGCGGGAUGCUUGUCCAAGUAAGGGCAGUACCCAAGCGUCGGUCCACCCACAUAUCAAACUAUCAAAGUAACGAACGCGAAUCAUAUGAACAUGAUGAAACUAGCAUGACAGAAAUUCCCGUGUGUCCUCGGGAGCGUUUUUCCUCCUAUAAGACUUUGUUCAGGCUUGUCCCUUGCUACAAAAGGGAUAGGGCCACUUGCUGCACCAUUGCUACUACUUGUUACUUGUUCCUCUUUGCUUGCUACGUUUCACCUUGCUACACAAUCACUUGUUACCGCUACUUUCAGUGCUUGCAGUUAUUACCUUGCUGAAAUCCGUUUAUCAGAGCCUUCUGCUCCUCGUUGGGUUCGACACUCUUACUUAUCAAAAGGACUACGAUUGAUCCCCUAUACUUGUGGGUCAUCAGUAUGGUUGGUCUUCAUUCACUUUUCUCUUGAACUUCAAAAAUUUCAGCAAAAGGAAAUUAUGUUCAGGAGGAAGUUUUAUGGUGGUUCCUCAAGUAAGAAGGGUCCCCCUCUUUCUUUUCGGGAGCCCGAACCUUUUCAACUAAGGGACGCACCGGUACAACCAUCUGAAUGGCCUUCCGAUGAGUUCAUGAUUGAAGCAGGUUUCAAGGAUGAGUUUGAUACACUUGUCCGCAAUGCCGGGUUAGAAGAAUUCCUCUCAGAUAAGUGUGAACAGUAUGCUAUGCUCACUGCCUCUUUCGUGCGUAGAUUUAAAUUUUCAGUUGGCCGUGACUCAUCCAUACUGUUUGAUCUGUACGAUAAAUCUUAUACCGUGGAUUUGGAGGAUUUCAAUAGGAUUUGCAAGAUACCCGAUGGGGGUAGUAUUAAUGAUCCUUCUAAAUCUUCGGUCAGAGACUUUGUCUCUAGUAUAACUGUUGGAGAAACCAGAGAUAUCAUGCAAGCCACCAUAGGAAGCAUCCAUUUCCCUACCUUGCACUACCUUUCCCUCUUCAUAGGUAGGUGCAUUAACGGCAAGGGUGCACAUUGUCACCUAUGCGCUUCGGACCUUAGUAUCCUUAAGAGCGCAGUAACAGGUGACAGGCACUACAGGAAUCAACUUCUUUGCCGUCUGCCAUCACGGACGGCAAAGAGUAAAUCCCGGACAGCAAAGAGAAUAUCACAGACGGCAAAGAAUCUCACGGCCGACAAAAUUUCUGCGUCAGCCUACGACGGCAUCGUACCUUCUUUGCCGUCUGUCUCCCCAAAGCGGGCGACAAAGAGCUUUGCCGUCAGCUUUUCAUAGGAGCAGUUGGCAAAGUGAUCGAGACGGCAGCCAACAGGCGUUGCCUCCGUUAGGGGCUAACGGAGGCUUUGCCGUCUGCCUCCCCCUCUUCUUUGCCGUCUACCUCCCCCCCUCUUCUUUGCCGUCUGCCUCCCCCCUCUUCUUUGUUGUCUGCCUCCUCCUCCCCCCUCCACUCUUUGCCGUCUGCCUACCCCUCCCCCCUCCUCCGUGCCCUCUUCUUUGCCGUCUGCCCCCCUGGAAGCAGACGACAAAGAUACUAUAUGGCCAGCUACUACUGCCCAGGUUGCACAGCUGGGCGCCACGUGGCACCUUUGCCGUCGGCCAGCUGAUGGCAAAGGCCUUUGCCAUCAGCUAGCAGACGGAAAAGAGCCUAUAUUGUCACAUUUUUGUUUAUUUUUUCUAUUUCACAGCACAUAUACAUAUAAUUCAUAGCACAUAUAUGAUAAAUAGGUCACAACACAUAUAUGAUAUACAUAUAAAGCUCAUCAAUGCCAUUUGUUCAUCAACGUACAUCCCAUAUAUCAAAAGAACCAACACAUACAAAGUUUCAUCCAUAUAUACAUACAUAUAGUUGCACAUAUAUUGUUCAUCCAUAUAUACAUAUACAUAUAGUUCCACAUUGUUCAUCAACUCAAAUAAAAACGGAAACUAAAGCACUCCAAUGCCAGCUUCCAUGCAUGUAGUACAUCCAAUCUGCAAAAUGGGAAUAAGAAAGUAAGAAGAAGAAGAACAACAACAUAUAUAUGAAAAAUAAGCUAAAUUGAAGAAGAAAGAUAAGAAGGAAGAAGAGAACAAGGAGAAGAAAAACAAGAAGGAGGAGGAGGAGGAGGAGGAGGAGGGGAAGGGGAAGGAGAAGGAUAAGGAGGAGGAGAAGAAGAAAAAUAAGAGAAGGAGAAGGAGAAGGAGGAGGAGGAGAAGGAGGAGAGAAGAAGAAGGAGAAGAAGGAGGGCUAUUUCUUCUUCUUCUCCUCCUUCUCCUUCUUCUUCUCUUCUUCUCCUCCUCCUCCUUCUUCUUCUCCUUCUCCUUUUCCUUCUCUUCUUCUCUUCUUCUUCUUCUUCUUCCUUCUUUUCAUUUCUCCUAUUCUCCUCUUCUUGGAGCUAAAUUAGCUAACUAUAUAAUAUUAAUGAGCUAACCAAGGUUCUUAUGCCAUUUUGAGCUUAUAAUGUCUUUUAGGAGCUAAAUUGGCUAAUUAUAUCAUUGUUGGGGAAAUUAAGGAAGGAGAAUAUGAAAUAGGAGAAGAAAGAGGAGGAGGAGGAGAAGAAGAAGAAAUAAAGAAGAAGGAGGAGAAGGAGGAGGAGGAGGAGAAGGACUAGAAGGUCCUUGGCCUUCUCCUCUUUCUCCUCCUCCUCCUCCUCCUUCUCCUUCUUCUCUUCUUCUGCUUCUUCUUUCUUUUCAUUUUUCCUAUUUCUUCUCCUCUUCUCCUCUUGUUGGAGCUAAAUUAGCUAACUAUGUCUUUUUGGAGCUAAAUGGGCUAAUUAUCUCAUUUUAGAGGAAAACAAGCUAAGUAUAUAAUAUUAAUGAGCUAACCAAGGUUCUUAUGCCAUUUUGAGCUUAUUAUGGCAUUUUGGAGCUAAAUGGGUAAUUAUGUCAUUGUUGGGGAAAUUAAGGCAAGGAGAAUAUGAAAGAGGAGAAGAAAUAGGAGGAGGAGGAGAAGAAGAAGAAAUAAAGAAGAAGGAGGAGAAGGAGGAGGAGGAGGAGGAGGAGAAGGACUAGAAGGUCCUUAGGCCUUCUCCUCCUUCUCCUCCUCCUACUUCUUCUCUUGUUCUUCUUCUUCUUUCUUUUGAUUUUUCCUAUUUCUUCUCCUCUUCUUGGAGAUAAAUUAGCUAACUAUGUCUUUUUGGAGCUAAAUGGGCUAAUUAUGUCAUUGUUGGGGAAAUUAAGGCAAGGAGAAUAUGAAAGAGGAGAAGAGAAACUUACCGUAGUGGUCAUCAAGGAGGAGAAACACCUGGAGAAGGGUCGUGCAAUUUUCGCUCGAGAGUUAUUCUACACAAUAGAUAUUUUGCAAUGUCUCAGUUAGCAUGAUGACACUCAAUUAUUAAUACUAGUUUAUAAUGAAACUCACCGUGCCAAUCGAAGAGAAGACGGGCAUCGACGGAGGGACUUGACCGCUCUUCUCGCACAGACCCAGAAGAGUGGGUCGUAUUAGUUAGUAAUGAAACAAACAUUACACACAUGAUUUGGCUAAUGUGAAAAAAACUUACCACAAAAAGCUCGUACGGGGCCCGUUCACCCGCCUCAUUCUGAGACCUCUCCUCCUCAAUCAAUCAUGCCGUGGUCUGGUCCCUCUCAUCAAGAGCAGCCUGACUUGCCAAUCUCUCUUUCUCAAGAGCAGCCUCAAGAGCAGCCUGGCUUGCCAAUCUCUCUUUCUCAAGAGUAGCCUGGUUUUCCAAUCUCUCUUUCUGAAGAGCAGCCUGAAACACCAUUCCUCGUUACCACAGUAAUGAUCUAUGGUGACACACAUAAUGAAAUGGAUGAAAGUGUUCUUAGUCCUUACAACUAACCUCAAUGGCAAGAUCGACUGUCCGUGGACGAGCAUUAUCUCAGGACAGCUGCUCGACUGGCGCGCCUUGAUCUCCGGGAGAGUGAGUGGACAACGUAUUAUCCCAUCUCCAAUGGUUAUCGAUCCAUGGGGCCUCCCGCCACCAGAUAUCAUCACCAGCUCUGGAUCCAAAGGUUCCUGGCUAGGGUUAGAGUCAUCCCCUUCCGUAGCCUUCCCCGCAUCCCUGUAUGCCACGAGCUUCUGGUAGGAUGAUAUGUUGGUGAAGUUAUUGGGAUCAUCCAGGUCAGACUCAGAGAAUGCCUUCUCCUUCUUGUACGAGGCAGUAUGGGCCAUGCCAUAAAGGUCGUACAAGUGUGGCAUCUCCGUCUUAUUGUGAUGCGCCUAAAAGAGAGGAACAAAAUAUUAGCAUGAAGAAUGAAUUGCAUGAAUCAUGAAGCAAAUCACAUACCUAGUUUCGUCCGAACUGAAGUAAGUUGGCGCUGCCUUGAUGGUGUGGCACACCAACCAUUUGGCUACGCCGAUCCUUCGCAUUCUCGUGGACGGCUCACCAGCUGCCUGUGCACCACUCAUCAACCAACGCCUCCCAACAAUCCAUCUUAUCCGCACACCAUCUCGGGGGCACCUGUAAGUUAUUAGAAAGAAUUUUCAGCGCUACGCCUAUGAAUGAAAUCAAGAAAACUACGUAGAAGGACUUAAGAAUAGGUAAUUACCUUCAUGUAUUGCUCCUUCUUCAGAAACUUUCCACGACAAUCCUUCUUCUGCUUCUUAAUACCACAAGUGGCAUAGUAAUCUCGAAUAGCCUGCGGCCGAGCCUCGUGGCACAAGUUCUGUAGUAACCGCCUACACUCGGCCUCGAGAACCCUGGCCGCCUCCUCCUCAUAUCCAUUCUCACACCUAUAGAAGGUCUGCAAUCAAACGUGAAAACACCGAUUAGUACAAUAAUUAGCUAUAUUGUUAAUUUUAGAUUAUGUAAAAGGAUGAUUUACCCAAAAGCUCUUGAUCACCAUCUCGGCCCUUGUGUGGCACAAGACACCAUCUAUAAUCCCCUCCGGCGGGGCCUGCGCAGCCUGGUAGUGCUCCCAAGAAAAUCCUAGUGUAGGAACCUGACCCUCACCAGGCAACGUGACAAACCCCGGGAAAUUUGUCCGGAAAAGCACACCAAGGACGGAGUUCGGCCUGCGGACUCCAAGAGGGGGUACCCAUCCUCUGCAGUAUGAUAAGGUCAACGCAUUAGAUAUUUGAAGAAACUUGAAGGCAAAAGCUAAAAAAAGAGUAACUAUACUUACCUAUCUCCUUCAGGUUUAAUCACCGGCCUCUGCUCGCGGGUAGCCGACGCGACCGGGAGACGUGUACUACCACGCUUGUACACGGUGGCCCCGUCCACCUGCCCAUCGCCCUCACUAUCCGUAAGCUCAUCCCCGCCAUCCCCGCCCCCUGAGCCACCCGGACCCUCCGUCCAAUCCGGCAACUCGGUACGAUCCGGCCAGGUCUCCCAUCUGGGCCUCUCCACGUCGGGUGAAGCCUCCGGAACCGUAGUCUCGUGGGCGGAAUGCACCUCGACCCGAGGCUGCUCCUGGAUCGGAGUCUCAUGGGACGAACACCCGUCAACACCAGGCGCCUGGAACGGAGUUCCCGUAGCCUCCUCCGCAAACGGGUCGACCAUAGUACUCCUAUGCUCGGGUGAAUGAGCUGGUGGUGGUGGCGAGGACGGCUCAACAGUCCUCCUGGAUCUUCUGUGGCCACCACCUCUCCCUGUACCCUUCCCCUUCUUCCCUACCCGACCAACACCUCUCCAAGUGGGCAAUGCCACCGACGAAGAAGAACCCACGGGUGGUGUCGACAGACUGUCUGCCAAGGCUCUACGGAGAGAUAGGGGUGGAAGGGAAGUACCACCCCUCGUGCGGGGCGCUUGGGAAGAACCCGUUGAGCGAUCUGGACCAGCGCCCAUCAUCUUUCCACACCUGGUGACCUGCCAUGAUAAAGAUUAAAAGAAAUUAGUACAACAUAAAAAAAUUGAAUAACUUAUAUGAAUAAUAAUAUGUACAUGAAUAAUAAAGAUUAAAAAUAUAUAAUUUAAGUUGUGAAUCUUGCAAACUAAUAAUCAUCAUCAAUAAAUGCAUCAUCAUCAUCACUAUCACGCAUGUCUUCAUGAAUGACGUGCUCGUCGGGUUCAACGGCGUGAAGUUGUGAAAGGCCUUCCUUUUAUCGUUGAAGCAUUGACACGUCAUCCGCAUCAGUAACCUCUACGAGUUCCAGGUCUUCUGGUUCCGGCUCAGGGCUGGAGUCGGAUUUAUUGUCGCUGUCUACUUCCAUGUUCUUGGGUGAAGCACGACGGUUCUUGAAACGUUUCUUGGAAAGAUGUGUUUCUUGGAAGAAUUCUCCAUCAUAUGUGUCUGGGUUAAUGUGAGGUUCAUAAUCCUAUUCAUUUGGGAGAGGUGGUCUGACAUGUGGCGACACUUCAUAAACAACAUACCAACCUUCCAGAUUCUUAUCCAUUUGGCAUGCCCACGGUAGAUAGAAAACUUGGGUUGACUGUUGAGCUGUAAUAUAGACAUCGGGAACAUCUAAAUGGGUGUUUGGAUUGAUUUCGACUAGUCCUAUAUGUUCGUGAGUCCUUCUAGUCUUCUUCGGCUGGAACCAAUAACAUUUGAAGACUACGACGUUCGGUGGGUUUUCACCAUAGAAUUGAAGUUCAUAAAUUGCUUCAACUCUUCCAUAAUACUCGAUAACACCUUUGCCGAUAGUAGAGACACCACAUUUUGUAGAUUUCCGGUCGGGCAUAGAUAGCUCUUUGCCAAAGGUACGAAAGAGAUACCCGUUGAUGUUCUAUUUCUCAAAUGAACGGACCUUAUAGUCAAAACCAUUAGGGACUUGUCUCAAUUCGGCGUCCAUAGACUCUGAAUUAGCCUACAAGUUUAAUACGAAAUGAUUGUUGCAUUAGCCACAAGUUAGACCAAGAAAUGAAAAGGUCCAUUAUUGAUAAUUACCAUUUGUUUGAAACAAGACAUGAAAUCGGGAUAGCCGCCUCCCGUCUUUGACAGAAGCUCAUACUCUUCGACGGAAUCAUUUUCGAUCACCGCUCCAUCCGAGAAUUUGGCGACAUAACGACUGUUUGAAAUAUCCGGGAAUAAGAGUAGUUCAAAUGAAUUAGAAGUUACGGGAAAAUGUGCCGAGAACUCACUCGAUGUACGGCCGCACUUCUGUUAAGUUGUUGAAGAUAUACAACGAAAUGUUCCGGCAUUCUUCGACAUCCAACGUUAUUGGUUUCGAAGCACCGGCUGGUGCGAGCUUCCCUUUGAAUAGGCUGAGGUUGGACCCACCUUUUUUAGGGUCUGCAUCAUUGUGCUGAGGCUUCGGAUUAUGCAAAUGAUUAUUUUUAGCUUCGUAGUGUGCUGUCACAAAGUUUGCGACCUCCUCAGUAAUGAAUGCCUCACCAUCGAUGCUUCAAUUCUACGCUUAUUUUUACAAUUAGCUCGAAGGGUCUUCUGCAUCCUCUCAGUUGCAUAGCACCAACGAUCUUGCAUGGGCCCACCCAAUCUUGCCUCAGUCGGUAGAUGUAAAAUCAAAUGCUGCAUUGGAUUAAAGAAGCCUGGUGGAAAGAUCUUCUCUAACUUACACAACAACUCCGGUGCAAACUCCUCCAUGUCUUUUACCACGCCAGGCGACAAUUCUUUCACACAAAGAACACAGAAGAAAUAGCUCAGCUCCGCCAGUACUAGCCAUUCAUCCUCAGGAAUAAAGCCACGUAACAUCACCGACAUUACCCGCUCUAGCCAUAUGUGCCAAUCAUGACUCUAGAGACCAAAGAUUUUUAAUUUUUCAAGACUCGCUCCCCUCUUUAGAUUCGCUGCAUACCCAUCGGGAAACAUCAAGUGCAUUUUGACCCACAAGAUAAUUUCCCUCAUAGCUGGCCUUCCAAGAUUGAACCAGGCCUUUGGCUUCGACCACUUCUGCUUUCCUUUGCCUUCUCGCAUGUUUUGUAACGGUCUAUGACAUAGUGUCUCUUGAUCGACUCUAGCCUUAGUAUUAUCCUUUGUCUUCCCAUCUAUGUCGAACAAUGUACCAAAAAUAGCCUCUCCGAUAUUCUUUUUAGUGUGCAUCAUGUCGAUAUUGUGUGGAAGAAGGAGGUCUUUGAAGUAAGGCAGAUCCCAGAAGCAUGGCUUGUGAGUCCACGCAUGUUUUGAAUUAUACCCCUUGAAAUACCCUGGACGCUCUGGAUCAGGCUCGAGGGCGUUUAACUGAUCCAGGAUCUGUUGGCCUGUGAACGCAGGUGGUGCCAAGUUUUUGAUAACUUUACCUUUGGUAAAGUUCUUCUUGUCUUUUCUGAACUGAUGGUCAGGAUCGAGGAACUGUCUAUGCAAGUCAAAGCAAGAAUACUUCCGACCCUCCUACAACCGAUGAAACUGAAGAGCUGCCUUGCAUUGGGGCACGGGAACCUUCCAUGCACACACCAUCCAGAGAAUAGCGCAUACGCUGGCAAGUCAUGCAUAGAGUACAUGUACCACACAUGCAUUUUGAAGUUUUCUUUUCGAGCGGCAUCGUAUGUCUUGACCCCAUUAUCCCAAGCUUCUUCCAAUUCAUCCUUAAGUGCUUGCAGGUACACAUUCAUAUUCUUCCCCGGAUAAUUGGGCCCUGGAAUUACCAACGUCAGAAAUAUGUUCUUUCUUUGCAUAAUCUGCCCGGGGGGGGGGGGGGAGAUUGAGUGGAAUGACAAAUACAAGCCAACAACUGUAUUGGGUUGCCGUCAUGCCGAAGGGAUUAAAACCAUCUGUGGCGGCGCAGACUCGAGGAUUACUUGGAUCUGCCGCUUUAUCCUGAUGCAAUCCAUCGAAAUGUUUCCACGCUUCCCCAUCCGAUGUGUGUACCAUCAUCUUAUUCCCAUCCGCAUCUAGUUCGAUUCUUUUGCCCAAUUUGUGCCAUGUCAUCUGUCUGGCUGUCUCUUCGACCAUGAAAACACGUUGAAGUCUUGGUACGAUUGGCAUAUACCGAAGAACACUAACUGCGAUUUUGGUCUGCCUCUUCUCACCCAUACCGUUGUCUACCACAAGAUACGUGCAAGACUCGCAAUUGGGACAAUAGUCCAAGUGGGCAUACUCCUUCCUAAAUAAGACACAUCCUUUCUCACAUGCAUCUAUCUUCUCAUAGGGCAUCUUAAGUACACGAAGUAUUUUGUCCGACUGGUACAUGUUUGCAGGCAUGACAUGGCCUUUGGGUAGGAAGCGUCCAAAUAGUGUCAUCAUCGCGUCGUAGCAUUCUCUUCCCAAGUUGAACUGAGCCUUUAGAGCCAUUACUUGUGCAAUUGCAUCCAGCUGACAGAGCUCAGUGUGCUCAUGGAGAGGACAUUUUGAAGACUCCAACAUUUCAUAAAAGGCCGGUGCAGAUUCCUCCAUCUCAUCUUCCGAAUCCCGAGCAUCAUCAAAGUCUUGCACCAUGUCUUCGAUCCCGGUACCAUGCUCGUCCAUGCGACGACGGACCACCUCAGCUCUUGUGCGUUGUAUAGACUCACCAUGAAAUGUCCACACCGUAUAAUUAGGCUUAAAACCCCUCCUCUGCAGGUGUUUAGUCAUUACAGCCUCUGUUGUCUUUUUUAUAGUUGUCGCAUCCAGGACAGGGGCAAUAGUUUCUUUCCUGGCCAUUUGUGAAUGCGGCUUUCACAAAUUCCUUUGUUUUUACAAACCAUUCUUUCGUCAUCUCUUUCUGACUAGGGUGACCGGUAUACAUCCACGCACGAUUACUCAUCUUGCGUAGCUACUAAAGAUAGAAGAAAUAUAUUUAUAUAUAAUUUAGCAUUUAUAUUCAUCGGUUAAUCAGGUUCGCCAUUUUUAUUACGUCCAGGAAAUCUACACGCUAAUAGGUAAAGAUAGGUCCUAAUCCCACCCGAGUAUGUGUAGAUUGGGUUCGUUUUCCCAUGCUUUGCUCCGGAUCCAACGCAAAAUUUCGGCAGCACCUCCCCGCUGUUCUCCUGAUACACGUCUCCGCAAUAAACAGAGAGGAUGUGCAUCCGGAGAACAACAGGGAGGCACUGACAAAAUUCCACAUCGGAUCCAGAGCACAACAUACGGGAAAACGAACCCAAUCUACACAUACUCAGGUUGUCAAUGGAUAAUGUUGGACAAUUGGAAACGAUGGCGGUUAUAAAUAUGCAAAGACAUGCAUAUUUAUAGAUGUCGCCCUUUCGAACAGGAGACGCAUACUGGUCACGCAUACUGAUAAAUUAAUUUAAUUACCUAAAUCUAUAAAGUUUCAUCCGGAAACCGAGCCACAGUAAAUGAAGGGGCGGGGAGGAGAUGAAAUUUGUACUAACCCACGAAUGCAGGGGCGGAGCUCAUACAACGCACCGGCAGGUCUUCGCACAGCAGACCUCACAGCGACGAGACAACUAUCACAUGUAAAUCCACCCGAUCAACACAAAUAUUAUAAUUAUGUCAUUUUAGAGGAAAACAAGUUAAGAAUAUAAUAUUCAUGAGCUAACCAAGGUUUUUAUGCAAUUUUGUAGCUAAAUGGGCUAAUUAUCUCAUUGUUGGGGGAAAAUAAGGUCAGAAGAAUAAGAUAGGGGAGAAGAAAUAGGAGGAGGAUANNNNNNNNNNNNNNNNNNNNNNNNNNNNNNNNNNNNNNNNNNNNNNNNNNNNNNNNNNNNNNNNNNNNNNNNNNNNNNNNNNNNNNNNNNNNNNNNNNNNAAGACAUAGUUAGCUAAUUUAGCUCCAAGAAGAGGAGAAGAGGAGAAAUGAAAAGCAAGAACAAAAAUAAGAAGAGAAAGAGAAAGAGAAGGAGAAGGAGAAGGAGGAGGAGGAGAAGGAGAAGGAGGAGGAGGAGGAGGAGAAAGAGGAGAAGGCCAAGGACCUUCUAGUCCUUCUCCUCCUCCUCCUCCUUCUCCUCCUUCUUCUUUAUUUCUUCUUCUUCUCCUCCUCCUCCUCUUUCUUCUCCUAUUUCAUAUUCUCCUUGCCUUAAUUUCCCCAACAAUGACAUAAUUAGCCCAUUUAGCUCCAAAAUGCCAUAAUAACCUCAAAAUGGCAUAAGAACCUUGGUUAGCUCAUUAAUAUUAUAUACUUAGCUUGUUUUGCUCUAAAAUGGGAUAAUUAGCCCAUUUAGCUCCAAAAAGACAUAGUUAGCUAAUUUAGCUCCAAGAAGAGGAGAAGAGGAGAAGAAAUAGGAAAAAUGAAAAGAAAGAAGAAGAAGAAGAAGAAGAAGAAGAAGGAGAAGGAGGACGAGGAUGAGGUGAAGGAGGAGAAGGCCAAGGACCUUCUAGUCCUUCUCCUCCUCCUCCUCCNNNNNNNNNNNNNNNNNNNNNNNNNNNNNNNNNNNNNNNNNNNNNNNNNNNNNNNNNNNNNNNNNNNNNNNNNNNNNNNNNNNNNNNNNNNNNNNNNNNNCAACCGAGUGAAAAACGCACUGUGCGGCCAUGUGAUGAAGACACGCUCGGCGGAGUGACGGCGCGUGAGGCGGCCGAGUGAUGGAGACACGUCCAACCGAGCGGCGACAUGUGGGCGGACAAGUGAUGUAGACACGUCCAACAAAGUGGUGACGCGCGGGGCGUCCAUGUGAUGAAGACGCACUCGGAGGAGUGGCGAUGCGCGAGGCAUCUGAGUGAUGAAUACACAUCCAAAUGAGUGGCGACACACGAGGCGGCCAUGAGAUGAAGACACGCUCAGCGGAGUGACGACGCGCGAGGCAGUCGAGUGAUGGAGACACGUCCAAGCGAGGGGCAACGUGUUGGGUGCCCAAGUGAUGUAGGCGCAUCUAGCAGAGUGGCAAUGCGCGAGGUGGCCAUGUGAUGAAGACGCGCUUGGUGGAGUGGUGAUGCUUGAGUCAUGUGAGGGAUGAAGACACGUCCUGCUGAGUGGAGACCCACGGGGCGGCCAUGUAAUGAAGACACACUCAGCUGAGUGAGGGUGCGCAAGGCGGCGAGUGAUGGAGACGCGUCCAACCAAGUGGCGACGUGGUAGACAUGUGAGUGAUGAAGACGCGUACAACUGAGUGGCGAAACGCGGGGUGUCCAUGUGAUGAAGACGCUCUCGAAGGAGUGACGACGCGCUAGGCAUUAGAGUGAUGAAGACGCAUCCAGCUGAGUGGCGACGCGCGGGGCCGCCAUGUGAUGAAGACGCGCUCGAUGGAAUGAUGGCACGCAAGGUGGUCGAGUGAUGGAGAUGCGUACAACCGAGCGGCGACGUGCUAUGCGGUCAAGUGAUAUAGGCACGUCCAGCAGAGUGGUGACGUGCGGGGCAGCCAUGUGAUGAAGACGCUCCCGGCGGAGUGGCGAUGCGCGAGGCAUGUGAGUGAUGAAGAUGUGUCCAGCUGAGUGGCGACGCGCGGGGGCGUCCAUGUGAUGAAGACGUGCUUAGCAGAGUGAUGGCGCGCAAGGCGACCGAUNNNNNNNNNNNNNNNNNNNNNNNNNNNNNNNNNNNNNNNNNNNNNNNNNNNNNNNNNNNNNNNNNNNNNNNNNNNNNNNNNNNNNNNNNNNNNNNNNNNNACCCGACCGACCGUACCCGUCGGCGGCGGCGGUACGGGGCCCACGCCUAGCUAUGUCGUUCGUCGGGUCCCCCUGUCGUCCUCGUUUCGCCCUACCUCUUCCGACCUAUAAAUUCAAGAAAAAUUACCAAAAUUGCACGAGAGAUCCAAGAAAUUACUUUUCCGCUGCCGCACGCUUCUGUCUCCGCAAGAUCCCAUAUGGGGCACAUUCUGGUGCCCUGCCGGAGGGGGUAUUCGGAUACGGAGGGCUUCUUCAUCAACACCAUGACCUCUCCGAUGAUUCGUGAGUAGUUCACCAUAGACCUUCGAGUCCAUAGCUAGUAGCUAGAUGGCUUCUUCUCUCUCUUGGAUCUUCAAUACAAAGUUCUCCAUGAUCUUCAUGGAGACCUAUCCGAUGUAGUCUUCUUUGCGGUGUGUUUGUUGAGAUCCGAUGAAUUGUGGAUUUAUGAUCAGAUUAUCUAUGAAUCUUAUUUGAGUUUCUACUGAUCUCUUAUAUGCAUGAUUCCAUAUCCUUGUAAUUCUCUUCGAGUGGUGGGUUUUGUUUGGCCAACUUGAUCUAUGAUUCUUGCAAUGGGAGAAGUCCUUGGUUUUGGGUUCAUACCAUGCGGUGACCUCACCCAGUGACAGAUGGGGUAGAGAGGCACGCAUUGUGUUGUUGCCAUCAAGGGUAAAAAGAUGGGGUUUUCAUCAUUGGUUUGUGUUUAUCCCUCUACAUCAUGUCAUCUUGCUUAAAGCGUUACUCUGUUCGUCAUGAACUCAACGAGAUUAAUUGAAUCCUUGACAUAGAGGUUCAACUGAUAAAGAUCUUCGUAGAAUAUGUAGGAGCCAAUAUGGGCAUCCAGGUCCCGCUAUUGGUUAUUGGCCGUAGAGGUGUCUUGGUCAUGUCUGCAUAGUUCUCGAACCCGUAGGGUGUGCACACUUAAGGUUCGAUGACGUUUUGGUAUAGUUGAGUUAUAUGUGUUAGUAACCAGUGCGCUGGAUUCUUCUGAGGACCAAGUCUCUCUCUCUAAAAGAGAGAGGCUUGAUCUUUUUGCUGUGGUAGUAUCUCAACUUCUGUUGAUAGAUGGCCAUCCGGCUCAAGGCCAAGUCCCUUGCUUCUUCGAGGAGGUCCACACCGUCUUCUCUUGCCUCCAUAGCCUUUGUUUCUGUGUAUAGGGUGACCCGAGGCGAGUCGAACUCGAUAUCCGUGGGAAUAAUAGCCUCGGACCCGUAUACAAGAAAGAACGGAGUGAAGUCGGUCGACCGGUUGGGCGUGGUGCGGAGGCUCCAUAACACAGCCGACAGUUAUUCAAUCCAGCAGCUGGCGAAUCUGACCAGUGGUGCCACCAGUCUUUUCUUGAUGCCAGCUAGAAUCAGGCCGUUGGCCCUCUCUGCUUGGCCAUUCGACUGGGGAUGUGCCACUGACGUCUAAAUCGAGCCGGAUGCCUACCGUUGGAACGGUAGAGCGCCAGAGUGCCUUUGGCGAAGUUGGUGCUGUUGUCGGUGAUGAUGCUGUGGGGAACGGCCAUAUCGAACAGAGAUGUCCGUGAUGAACCUGACGGUUGUGGGGGNNNNNNNNNNNNNNNNNNNNNNNNNNNNNNNNNNNNNNNNNNNNNNNNNNNNNNNNNNNNNNNNNNNNNNNNNNNNNNNNNNNNNNNNNNNNNNNNNNNNUAUGAGCCAACGAAACCAUCAUUUAGGGUGCGCGCUUGAGCUUUCUGAUUCGCCCCAUCCUGUUGCGACCUUAUGAGCCGACGAAACCAUCAUUUCGGGUGCGCGCUUGAGCUUUCUGACUCGCCCCAUCCUGUCGCGACCUUAGAGCCGACGAAACCAUCAUCUAGGGUGGCACUUUAGCUUUCUGACUCGCCCCAUCCUGUCGCGACCUUAUGAGCCGACGAAACCAUCAUCUAGGGUGGCUCUUGAGCUUUCUGACUCGCCCCAUCCUGUCGCGACCUUAUGAGCCAACGAAACCAUCAUUUAGGGUGCGCGCUUGAGCUUUCUGACUCGCCCCACCUGUCGCGACCUUAUGAGCCGACGAAAUCAUCUGGGGUGCGCUUGAGCUUUCUGACUCGCCCCAUCCUGUCGCGACCUUAUGAGCCGACGAAAUUGUUAUUUUUUAUUUAUUUACCUUCCUGGCACUGCCACAAGGUUUUUCCAAACUUUUUCCUGAUUCAUCUUGAAAUAUUUUGGGUCGAUUGCUAUUUAUUAUCGCCCAUUACUCACUGAGGUGCUAGCCACCGUGACUCACUGAGCCGGCUUAUUUAAAAUAGCUUGAUGCCAUACUUAUCAUAUCAUAUACAUGCAUCAUCUUGCAUUGCAUCAUGCAUCAUACAUACAUAUCAUGCCGGUCUUCAAACCGGAUCAACGCAUAAAUUCUUGCAGGUGCAAAUAAAUCUUUGAAUAGCCAAUUUGGCUGGAUUUUCAUCAUGGUUUAUCAUAACCAGUGUUAAAUGAUUGUGGUUUUUAAGGCCAGCUCGGAAGAAUUGACUAUUGUCGAAGAGCCGCCCUAUCACAUAUAAUGCCGAGUCAUCUAAUUGACCGGCCCUUGGAUUUCUUCAACUUGUGCUCUGUAGUAGACUACAACACUUAUGGAUUUCUCAAACAUAUGGAUUUCUCAAAGGAUAUAUUUUCCGGGUUACAUUGCAAACCACGGUCGAGGAUUUCUUUUAUCACAAAGGCAUCAUCAGCUCACAGAUUGGAUAUGAUUUUAUUCUACAAUGGAAGGAAUAGCCCCGAGUCGCUACAGGCACGCAACCCGACACUCGGGGGCUACAUUAUUCAGAUCAAGAUUACAUCAAAGUAUGCAAGUCCCAUGUCGCUGCAAGCAUGCACCAUGACACUUGGGGGCUAAUGCAAUCCGCUUUUCAAAUGAUCACAUCAUCAACAGACCCGACUAUUUCAAGAAGAUAAGCCGGCCCUAGGGGGCUACAGGUCGCUCAUUGUUCAAGUAUGGAUUCUAGGAAGAUCCGGCCCAUCACACACUGAUAACCCGGCCCUUGGGGGCUACAGGUAACAUGGAUAUAUCAAAAAAUUGAAGAGCACAUUUCAUUGUGUCAUGGAGGUGAAGUAUUGGGAGACCGGUUCAGCAUAUUUUUAUGUAGUUGAAGCACCGAAAGACCGGCUCAACAUCAGACGGAUUUGUCAAUUGGAGUUCAGUUGUUUGACGGGGCACUACUAAUAAUGAUGACCCGCCAUUGUCAAUCAUGACCCGCCAUUGUCAAUCAUAACCCGCCGAAGCAAGAGAAGCUAGUUCAACAUUGUGUGGAUUUCUUAUUUCCCAAAUUUUCAUCAAGCCAAAGCAUUGGAGGCCGACUCAAUGGCAUAUGUAUUUUAUUGCAAAGGACAUGUCUCAACAAUGAGAUGAUUGAAGGCGGCUCGAAGAAACCCAGAUUUUUCAAGGAGCCACUUCAGUAAAUCAAGCCGGCCAGAGGAGCAAGCCGGUCCCUUAACUUAUUUAUUAUUCUUAUUUCAGGAGCUUACCAUGAAUAAAUUCAAGCUAACCUUGGGGGCUAAUGUCGGGGAUAUACCCCGCAGUGUAACCCGGCUUGGAGUAUGACCCGCCAAAGGACUUGGCGACUCANNNNNNNNNNNNNNNNNNNNNNNNNNNNNNNNNNNNNNNNNNNNNNNNNNNNNNNNNNNNNNNNNNNNNNNNNNNNNNNNNNNNNNNNNNNNNNNNNNNNUCACCGUUGCUAGCCUCUCUAGUGCCGCGCAACUUUCGCCAGUGCACAAAACCACCAUAUACCUUCCUCAAAACAGCCACCAUACCUACCUAUCAUGGCCUUUUCAUAGCCAUUCCGAGAUAUAUUGCCAUGAAACUCCCACCGUUCCGUCUCAUGACUUGUGCGGUAAGCUAGCGAGAUGUUUCAACGGCAUACGCUAAGCUAGAUCAUUGCACAUCCGGGUACACUGUCGGAGGCAUUUCCUAUAGAGUCAUCAUUGCUCUAAGUAUUGAGUUGUGAGUAAAUAAAAGUGUGAUGAUCAUCAUUAUUAGAGCAUUGUCCCAUGUGAGGAAAUAAAAAAGAAGAGGCCAAAGAUGCCCACCAAAAAAAUGAAAAGAGGCCAAAGAGCCCAAAAAAAGAGAGAGAAAAAGAGAGAAGGGACAAUGCUACUAUCUUUUUCCACACUUGUGCUUCAAAAUAGCACCAUGUUCUUCAUGAUUGAGAGUCUCUUGUUUUGUCACCUCCUUAUACUAGUGGGAAUCUUCAUUAUAUAACUUGGCUUGUAUAUUCCAAUGAUGGGCUUCCUCAAAAUUUCCCUAGGUCUUCGUGAGCAAGCAAGUUGGGUGCACACCCACUAGUUCUCCUUUUGAGCUUUCACUCACUUAUAGCUCUAAGUGCAUCCGUUGCAUGGUAACCCCUACUCAUUCACAUUGAUAUCUAUUGAUGGGCAUCUCCAUAGCCCUCUGAUACGCCGAUUCGAUGUGACCAUCUCCUUAUUUUUGCCUCACAACCUCAACCACACUCUAUUCCACCUAUAGUGCUAUAUCCAUGGAUCACGCUCAUGUAUUGCGUGAGAGUUGAAAAAGUUCGAGAAAGUAAGAGUGCGAAAACAAUUACUUGGCUAAUACCGGGGUUGUGCAUGAUUUAAAUUUGUUGUGUGGGGAUAAUGGAGCAUAGCCAUACUAUAUGAUUUUGUAGGGAUAACUUUCUUCGGCCUUGUUAUUUCGAAAGUUCAUGAUUACCUUGCUAGUUUGCUUGAAGUAUUAUUGUUUUCAUGUCAAUAGAAAACUAUUUUUUUGAAUCUUACGGAUCUGAACAUUCAUGUCACAUGAAAAGAAGUUACAAAGGACAAAUAUGUUAGGUAGCAUUCCACAUCAAAAAUUCAGUCUUUAUCACUUCCCUACUCGAGGACGAGCAGGAUUUAAGCUUGGGGAUGCUUGCUACGUCUCCAACGUAUCUAUAAUUUUUGAUGGUUCCAUGCUAUUAUAUUGUCAACUUUGGAUGUUUUGUAUGCAUUUUAUAUCUUCUUGGGACUAACCGAUUAACUCAGUGCCAAGUGCUAGUUCCUGUUUUUUCCGUGUUUUUGACCUUUUUCAGAGGAGAAUAUCAAACGGAGUCCAAACGGAAUAAAACCUCCGGAAAGAUUUUUUUCCCGAAACAGAAGAUACGCAGGGAACUUGAGAACCAAGGCAAAGGGCUCCGGGNNNNNNNNNNGAGGCCACAAGCCCCCUAGCCGCGGUCUGGGGGCACGCCUAGCAGGCUUGUGGGCCCCCCAUGGCUCCUUUGCCCUACCUCUUCCGCCUAUAAAUUACCUAAAAAUCUGAAACCACGGGAGAGAGCCACGAAAUACUUUUCCGCCGCCGCAAGCUUCUGUCUCCGCAAGAUCCCAUCUGGGGACCGUUCUGGUGCCUUGUUGGAGGGGGGUUCGGACACGGAGGGCUUCUUCAUCAACACCAUUGCUUCUCCGAUGGUGCGUGAGUAGUUCACCACACACCUUCGGGUCCAUAGCUAGUAGCUAGAUGGCUUCUUCUCUCUCUUGGAUCUUCAAUACAAAGUUCUCCAUNNNNNNNNNNGAUUAUCUAUGAAUCUUAUUUGAGUCUCCUCUGAUCUCUUAUAUGCAUGAUUUCAUAUCCUUGUAAUUCUCUUCGAGUUGUGGGUUUCGUNNNNNNNNNNGAUCUUCAUGGAGAUCUAUCCGAUGUAAUCCUAUUUUGUGGUGUGUUUAUCGAGAUCCGAUGAAUUGUGGAUUUAUGAUCAUAUUAUCUAUGAAUCUUAUUUGAGUCUCCUCUGAUCUCUUACAUGCAUGAUUUCAUAUCCUUGUAAUUCUCUUCGAGUUGUGGGUUUCGUUUGGCCAACUUGAUCUAUAAUUCUUGCAAUGGGAGAAGUGCUUUGGGUUCAUACCGUGCGGUGACCUCACCCAGUGACAGAAGGGCUAGCGAGGCACGCAUCAUGUUUUUGCCAUCAAGGGUAAAAAGAUGGGAUUUAUAUCUAUUGCAUGAAUUUAUCCCUCUACAUCAUGUCAUCUUGCUUAAGGCGUUACUCUGUUUGUUAUUAACUCAAUACACUAGAUGCAUGCUGGAUAGCGGUCGAUGUGUGGAGUANNNNNNNNNNGGUUUUGGGUUCAUACCGUGCGGUGACCUCAUCCAGUGACAGAAGGGGUAGCGAGGCACACAUCAUGUUGUUUCCAUCAAGGGUAAAAAUAUGGGGUUUAUAUCUAUUGCAUGAAUUUAUCCCUCCACAUCAUGUCAUCUUGCUUAAGGUGUUACUCUGUUUGUUAUGAACUCAAUACACUAAAUGCAUUUGGAUAGCAGUCGAUGUGUGGAGUAAUCGUAGUAGAUGCAAAAAGUAUUGGUCUACUUGUCUCGGACGUGAUGCCUAUAUGUAAUUCGUUCACCCACCGUAAUAUCGUCAUGACUUUGCGCGGUUCUAUCAAUUGCUCGACAGUAAUUCNNNNNNNNNNAUCGUAGUAGAUGCAGAAAGUAUCGGUCUACUUGUCUCAGACGUGAUGCCUAUAUGUAUGAUCAUUGCCUUAGAUAUCGUCAUGACUUUGCGCGGUUCUAUCAAUUGCUCGACAGUAAUUCGUUCACCCACCUUAAUAUUUGCUAUCUUGAGAGAAGCCUCUAGUGAACACUAUGGCCCCCGGGUCUACUUCACAUCAUAUUUUCUGCUCUACACUUUUACUUUGUUGCACUUUCCACCUUCAUAUCUCACCUUGCAGUUAACCGUGAAGGGAUUGACAACCCCUUUGUAGCGUUGGGUGCAAGUUUGCUUGUUUUGGGCAGGUACUUUGGAGACUUGCCUUGAUACUCCUACUAGAUUGAUACCUUGGUUCUCAAACUGAGGGAAAUACUUACUGCUACUGUGCUGCAUCACCCUUUCCUCUUCGAGGGAAAAACCAACGCAAGCUCAAGAGGUAGCAAGAAGNNNNNNNNNNNNNNNNNNNNNNNNNNNNNNNNNNNNNNNNNNNNNNNNNNNNNNNNNNNNNNNNNNNNNNNNNNNNNNNNNNNNNNNNNNNNNNNNNNNNUUGUCAAAGGGCUUUGCACCACCUACCCAUCAACACCAUUCACCAUGCCCACAAAAAAAGAGAAAAACUACUACAAUUCACCAUUGCUGACCCUGCUUAAAAUUGUCAACCAUCCCCGGGCACCACUUGGCACACAUGUUGCACGACAACAACCUCCUGCCAGAAAACCUAUCCACGAGCGGAAUUAUUCCAUCUGCACCUAGAUUAUUACACUUAGGAAUUAUGAGUCGUACGUGUGAGACUCCGACAUGACGGGGUCCAAACACCUGUAGAGGAAAUUCGGACAACCGGAUGUGUCCAUGGACUCGAUGAGGUAUCAUGUUACAUGACAAACAACAUUGGAAGAGCUUGGCCCGAAUGUAUGCGGGCAUUUUAGGGUCGGCGUUGGAGAUGCCCUUAUCGAGGGAGCUUUGCCUUUUCAUUAAUAAGAAGAAUAGAUCCAUCCAAAAAACAAAAAAAAGGUGAGAAAAACUAGUUACAAGCAAUUGCAGCCGAAUACACAUUUUUAAGGGGAGAAAAGACACUUUCUUACGGUCUUAAUUUGACUAUUAGCGAAAUGUUUAAUAAAAGGAAACGUUUACGAUCGACACGUUGGCCGAACGAUCCAGCCGGACGCGCGCUACGCGUAGGAUCCAUAUGGAUCGAACGCGUCCCAUGGGCCUCCCGCCCCCCGCUGCCCCCUUUUCCCCUUAUCCCCUUGUGUUGUUUCUGGCCAGAAAAAUGUCCCCACCGUGUUCGAUCCAUAUGGAUCCCUUCUGUUAUUUCUGCCCAGCUGUCCCUCUCCGUGCACAUCCCUAUCCAUUGGUCCUGCCCACCUCUUAUCUCUCUCUCCACCUCCCGCGUUUGUGUUGCACUGCUCCUUGCUCCUUUUUUUCUUCCUCGGAAACAUGCAGGCGGCACGAAGCCAUCCACCUCCUACAUGCUAUGUGCCGCAGUCGCCCAGUGCCAUAACUCCUCGUCCAUCAAAGCUGCCACGGCUGUCACCGGGUGCUGCAAGGGAGCAGACCAUGCGGGGGAUGCUCCAACACUUAGAAGGUGCUUGGAUCCAAAAGACUAAAACUAGUCUGACUAAAACUAGUCUCUUUAAGAGGCUAAAGUUCCAAGCACCCCUGACUAAAGAGAGACUAAAACUAGACUUGAGGCUAAAAUCUUUUAGUCAGGGAUACCCCUACUAAAAUGUGCAUUAGUCCUCUCUCUCCUCAUUUAACUCCUCAGGCAAGUUCUGGAUUGGAGGGUUUGAAGGAUAAUAAAUGUUUAUUAACUUGAUUUUAGUCUUUUUAGUACUUGAAUCCAAGCAUGGAUGAGGCUAGCAAGUUUUAGUCUCAUUACUUUUAGUCAUGGGACUAAAACAUAUCCAAGCACCCUCUUACUGGGGCGGGCGACAUGACCCAGCGGCAUCGUUUUGCUACAAACAACAAGGUGUUUUGUUGAACUAGCGACACCAAUUGCUGGAACCGUGCACACAGGAGCUGCAAACAUACACCCACGGACUGCACCUGCCGCCGACGAUGUCGGCGAAAAUGUUACAACCAUGUAUCAUGGAAGCUACAACCAUCUCUCGGAAAAAGCUACAACGAUGCACACGGGAGCUACAACCGGCAACGCCAUCGUCGGGAAAAUGCUUCAACCGUGUCCCGCACAAGCUACAUCCACAUACGUCACAGCUGCAAUCAUUUCGGUGUUGCUACAACAGUGUCACCAGAGCUACAACCGGCGACGUUGUCAUCACAAAAAUGCAUGAACCGUGUAGUGAAGAAGUUACAUCCAUGCGCAGCAGAGGUGCAAGCAUUUUGUGGCAACGCUACAGCCGUGUUGCCAGAGCUGCGAUGCAGGGCAAGCCAUGAUGCUGACGACCAUCGGUGUGUGGAGCUUCGCGACCAACGCCGCCGCUAUCAUGAUUCCCGUAUGAUGGAACCAAGCGGCAACAGAGUUACAACCUUGACAACAAAAACUAUUUUUGUAAAACCAGGAAGGAUGUGUUUCAAUCGCUACCGGUUAUGGAAGCGACAAGCCUGCCUGCGGUGUUGGUUCGAGGACUACAAGGCAGCAGCAACGGCAACGAGUUGUGGCGCGUGAGGUGGAUGUAGCCUACAACGCAGAAUAAGGACCCACGCAGGUCUAUUUCUGUUACGGGACGAAGCUAUUUGAAGAAGAAGAUAAGAUGACGUGGGUUGCAGGAUCGGGCGACUACAGAAUGCCUAAUAUGACACUGGCCGAACCCUUGGGCCGGUCCGCCGGCGCCUGCCGCCUAGCGAUCCCCUUUAAUAAAAGGUUUUCAGAGGGCUUCACACCAUCUACCCAUCAACACCAUUCACAAUUUCCCUAAAAAAACUACUACAAUUCACCGUUGCUGACCUUGUUUAAAACUGUCAGCCAUCCCCGACACCACUUAACACACGUGCUGCAGGUGCAGGACAGCAACCUCCUGCCAGAAAAUCUAUCCACGGAAUCUGCACCUAGUGUCAUACUCUCUGUGUAAAAAAAUAUAAGAGCAUUUAAAUCAUUACUUUAAUAAUCUAAACAUUUUUAUAUUUUUUUACGAAGGGAAUACUUAUAACCAUACGAACAUGAGGAAUACUUAUAACCAUACGAACAUGUCCAAUCAAUCAAUAAUCUACCGCUCGCCAUUGUUGACCCAAAACUGCCAACAAAACGGUCCCUCCCAACCACAUUGCAGUUGGCACAUGCUGGCCCGAGACGGCUAACCGCCAGGAUGCGUGCAGCUGCUUGUUGUUCCCUCCAAUAAUUGGAGCAGCAAACUUUACAGGAUCGAGAAAGGUUUUCCAAGCCAACAGCACGCGCUAUUCUUCUCACCACUUUUGUUAUCAUAGGUAUAUGAAUAAUGUAGCAUUCAUACAAAGCACAAGCCACUCGCUUUUCAGUUCACUGGUCUGCAAUGCACCGGCAGCACCGUAAGACGAGGAAUAUCACAGCCAAUCUGCAUACCACUUCCAGAAAACGCCAUCAAGAAUCAGACCAGAGCCAUCAUGCAUGUCUUGCCAUGCCAUGUCAUGCCAUGAUGCCCAUGGCUGUGAUCGGAGCGAUCCGCACACUAUGUUCAACUCCUCCUCCCCCAUCUUCAGACAACAGCUACCCUUCAUACGGCCUGCAGACCGAGCGUCCGGUCCAUCCACCUGAUGAUGUCGGCGGCGAUCUCGUCGCGCUCGGGUUCGAAGAGCAGGUCGUGCAGGAACCCCUCGUACAGCCGCAGGUCCUUGUGCCUCGACGCCGCCUCCCUGUAGAGCUCCUGCGAGGCCAGCGGGUCCGUCACCCGGUCCGCCGUGCCGUGCAGGACUACAAACGGGACAGUCACCUUCUUCAGGUUGUGCAGCAGGUAGGAGGAGAUGCGCAGGAUCUCGUGGCCCGUACGGACCCUGAUCGGCCCCGUGUAGACCAGCGGGUCAGAGUACUUUGCUAGCAGCGCCGCAGGGUCGCGGGACACCGGGAUGCCCCGCUUGUUGGCUCCCUUGAAUUGGAACUUGGGUGCAAUCAGAGAGAAUAUCGGUGCCACUGCCUGCAUUUGAUUCAGAUGAGUCUCAGUG